rnacentral:lncRNA from 1 species
UAUAUCUGAAUCUUUUUGUGAAUUAUCUAUGAAUAUUGUCGUGUGAUCUAUCAAUCAUUUGGAUGCAUAGACAUGCUGAACUUGUGUAUAUAUGAAUCUUUUGAGUUGUUGAUUGUGAAUGUUGGCUAUGAAUAUGAACGUGUCAUGUGAACCUGAGUUUGAUACGAAUGUUUACCUGUUCUAUUGUACUUGUGUGUGAACUUGUUAGUAUGUCUACCGUGGGAUUUGUGACGUGUGGGUGUCAACGGCACACCUUCUUCCCGAGAAGAAUUGCACCUGCUUUGUUAGGGUAGCAACGGCGCAUCAGCUCUUCUUAAUAUGUUUGCUCUGUCUUCCCCCCUCCCCCGCUCAACCCCUGCCGUAAUGUUUUCGGCCUCAAAACAAGCAUAAUGGGAUGCAUUGUUUUUGGGGCUUGAUGAAAAAUCGAGUGCCGGUUUCUGUAGGUUGGCCCGCCCAGCAAAUGGGCUGCUGGUCCACCACGGACUGGGAGGCUAAAAUACAAGUUGUAUGGUGCAGAGGCAAGUAAAAAUAAGCCAUCGAGAGCCAUCCACUGAAGAAAAAAAAAUCACGUCUGAUGUGCUUCUUCAGUCGGGCCGCCGGCCCCCUCUUUAAUCCAGUUCGCUCGGGGAUCUAGCUGGUACUAUCAUUUUUUCCACAGGGCGAACAAGUAUCAGCUAGGCCUAGGUAUGCGUAGCCCACGACAUAUGGAGACAGUGGUUUCAACUUAUUUUUUGAGGUCCAUACCGACCUAUGGGCCUCCGAGCGUAGGUUUUACUUUUUCUUAAAGAUCGGCAGCCCGAUGUAUUUUCUUAAUAAAACGCAGAUCUCUGUUCUAUUUAUCUAUAUAUAAGAAUAAUAAUGCUAUGUCCAAUUUAUGUUUUCCCUUCUAACCACAUUAUAUAUAUUUAUAUUAUUACUAUUAUUGUAUAUUUUAUAGAGACUUAUAUAUCAUUAUAAAAACAUCCCAUGUGUUAUUAACUUAUAAAAGUAAAUGUUUAACAGAAGUUGGUAAGGAAAAUCCUGGUUGUUUUUGACUCACAGGUAGGAAAAUCCUGGUGAUUGCGUACAAAAGCUUGCGAAGAUUUUAAGGACCAAUGUAAUAAUAACGCGCUCAUUUUUAUUUUGAGCAAUACCUUGCUAAUUUGUUAAUUUUAUAUAUAAAAAAUGUGUUGCAACAGUUUAUUUUUUAUAUUAAUUGCUCCUUCUAACCUAACAUUAUAUAUAGAACGAGCCCAGCUAAUUCAUGUAUUUCAAGAAAGUGCAAAUGGGCUGGGAUUUCUUAGAAAAUAUUAAAUGGGCCACAUUGACGCGAAAUUAUUUGUUCACCCAGCCGAGCAAAUGGACUGUACAUUCUAGAAAACAUGGGUUAAAUAUAUACCACAUUUUUGCAGGCUCACAUGUGGGACAAUAGGUCGAAGCCUACGCAGGGCGUUGUCAACUUGGUCAACAAAUGAUCAUGACAUCCACAACCAUUGGAUUUAUAUCCAACGGCCGGCAUGCACCUUCAAUCUCUCGUCUUCUUCCUCCAGCGUCGCCGGGACCGCCUGGUCCGGCCUCCGGUGGCUAGCGGCUCUGCUUAGCAUGCAUCGCUGCGAAGCACUACCCCACCGCCGGCCAGGCUAUCCCUCCGCCCCUCCACACCUCAUGUUAUUCUCCACCGACUGCAGCCCCACGCCGCAUCAGAACAGUUAUAACCCUUGUACUCCUCUCAAUCUGUGACUCCACUGCCGCGUCUUCUCAUCUCCGGGUCGUUCCCGUCUGGGGCCUCGCCGUCGUCCACCGCCUCGCUGCGCUCGGCGCGGCGUGGUCAACAAACAAGAGUCAUCGAAAGAGGACUGGAGAGCCUGACGGCUGGGACCCACGAGGUCCAUGGUCGCACGCAAGGAAAGUUCCUCCUUAUUAAGCUGGAAAAAAAUGUGUCCUCCCCCUAACAGCUGGGACCCACCGGUUGUAUCUUCGCACGGAAGGAAGUGCCUCCUUGUUAUGCGAAAAAACUAUUCCUCCCGUUGACAGCUGGGACCCAUCAGAUUUGGUGGCUGACUUGUGGGCCUACUAAGCGGACGUGUACGCAGGGCUUUGUCAACUUAAUCAACAAAUGAUUCUAGCAGCUAGAUCGUUGCGUGUUAAUCCAACAGCCGUGCUCCUUCUUCAACCUCUGUUCUUGCUCCUGUCUCCCGUGGGCGGCAGUGCUGCCGCGCACCCGAACCAGUCAAGUUUCCCACUGCUCUCCAUCUGCGACUCCACUGCCGCGUCUUCCCCAUCUCCGGGUUGUUCCAGUCUGGGGCCUCGCCGUCGUCCACCGGCCUUGGUGCGCUCGGCACAGUGUGGUCAACAUGGUCAAUAAACAAGAGUCAUCGAAAGAUGAUUGUACGUGAGAGGCUGACAGUGGGGAGGCACCACGCCCAUGGACGCAUGCAUGCAACUGCAUCCUUUUUUACCUGAAAAAUAAUGUUUUCUCCCCCUGACUGCUGGGACCCACCAGCUACAUCUUCGCACUCAAGGAAGUGCGUCCUUAUUACGCCAAAAAGAAUGAAUACUACCGCUGACAGCUCGGACCCACCAGCUAUAUCUUCGCACGCAAGGAAGUGCCUCCUUAUUACGCACAAAAAAAUGAAUACUCCCCCUGCUAGCUGGGACCCACCAUAGUGGGAGGCUGACUUGUGGGCCUACUAAGUUGACGCGGAUGGAGGGCUUUGUCAACUUAGUCAAUAUGAACGAUUCUAGCUCUAGUGACCGUAUGAUGUCCAUCCAACGGCCGUAAUGCUUCUUCAACCUCUGUUUUUCUUGCUCCAGCCGCCCAAACAAGCGUCAGCCGUGCCGCCUGCUCCUGCCUCCCAUGUCCGGCUGUGCUGCCACCGCUGGCCAUGCCAUCCCUCUAUACUCACCCACACCUCCUGUUAUUAUCCGGCGACGGCAGCCUCACACCGUGCUACCUCUUGAGCAUGCGUUGGUUUUCCCUUGAAGAGGAAAGGGUGAUGCAGCAAAGUAGCGUAAGUAUUUCCCUCAGUUUUUGAGAACCAAGGUAUCAAUCCAGUAGGAGACUACACGCAAAUCCCUAGUACCUGCACAAACAAUCAAGAACCUUGCAACCAACGCGAUAAAGAGGUUGUCAAUCCCUUCAUGGCCACUUGCAAAAGUGAGAUCUGAUAAAGAUAAUAAGAUAAAUAUUUUUGGUAUUUUUGUUGUAUAGAUUGAAAAGUAAAGAAUGCAAAAUAAACGGCGACAGAAAUAGCUAGUUGGCGAGAGAUUAAUAUGAUGGAAGAUAGACCCGGGGGCCAUAGGUUUCACUAGGGGCUUCUCUCAAGAUAGCAAAUUCUAUGGUGGGUGAACAAAUUACUGUUGAGCAAUUGAUAGAAAAGCGCAUAGUUAUGAGAAUAUCUAGGCAUGAUCAUGUAUAUAGGCAUCACGUCCGUGUCAAGUAGACCGAAACAAUUAUGCAUCUACUACUAUUACUUUACACAUCGACCGCUAUCCGCAUGCAUCUAGAGUAUUAAGUUCAUAAGAACAGAGUAACGCAUUAGGCAAGAUGACAUGAUGUAGAGGGAUAAACUCAAGCAAUAUGAUGUAAACCCCAUCUUUUAUCCUCGAUGGCAACAAUACAAUAUGUGCCUUGCUGCCCCUGCUGUCAUUGGGAAAGGACACCGCAAGAUUGAACCCAAAGCUAAGCACUUCUCCCAUUGCAAGAAAGAUCAAUCUAGUAGGCCAAACCAAACUGAUAAUUCGAAGAGACUUGCAAAGAUAUCAAAUCAUGCAUAUAAGAAUUCAGAGAAGAAUCAAAUAUUUUUCAUAGAUAAUCUUGAUCAUAAACCCACAAUUCAUCGGAUCUUGACAAACACACCGCAAAAAGUAUUACAUCGAAUAGAUCUCCAAGAGAAUCGAGGAGAACUUUGUAUUGAGAUCCAAAGAGAGAGAAGAAGCCAUCUAGCUAAUAAUUAUGGACCCGAAGGUCUGUGGUAAACUACUCACACAUCAUCGGAGAGGCUAUCGUGUUGAUGUAGAAGCCCUUUGUGAUCGAUUCCCCCUCCGGUGAAGCGCUGGAAAAGGCCCCAAGAUGGGAUCUCAUGGGUACAGGAGGUUGCGGCGGUGGAAAUUGGGUUUCGUGGUGCUCCUGGAUGUUUUCAGGGUAUAUGAGUAUAUAUAGGCGAAAGAAGUAGGUUGGUGGAGCUAUGAGGGGCCCACGAGGGUGGGGGGCGUGCCUCCCUGCCUCGUGGCCGCCUCAUUGCUUCCUUGACGUCCACUCCAAGUCUCCUGGAUUGCGUUUGUUCCAAAAACGAUCCUCGUGAAGGUUUCAUUCCGUUUGGAUUCCGUUUGAUAUUCCUUUUCUACGAAACACUGAAAUAGGCAAAAAAAAUAACAAUUUGCACUGGGCCUUCGGUUAAUAGGUUAGUCCCAAAAAUAAUAUAAAAGUGCAUAAUAAAUCCCAUUAAACAUCCAAAAUAGAUAAUAUAAUAGCAUGGAACAAUCAAAAAUUAUGGAUACGUUGGAGACGUAUCAAGCAUCCCCAAGCUUAAUUCCUGCUCGUCCUCGAGUAGGUAAAUGAUAAAAACAGAAUUUUUGAUGUGGAAUGCUACCUAACAUAUUUUUGUAUGUAAUUCUCUUUAUUGUGACAUGAAAGAUUCAAGAUAAAAGUUUAAUAUUGACAUAAAAUAAUAAUACUUCAAGCAUACUAACUAAGCAAUUAUGUCUUCUCAAAAUAACAUGGCAAAAGAAAGCUCAUCCCUACAAAAUCAUUUAGUUUGGUCAUGCUUCAUUUUCAUCACACAAAAAUGCUCUCAUCAUGCACAACCCCGAUGACAAGCCAAGCAAUUGUUUCAUACUUUAGUAUUUCUCAAACCUUUUCAACUUUCACGCAAUACAUGAGCGUGAGCCAUGGACAUAGCACUAUGGGUGGAAUAGAAUAUAAUGAUGGGGGUUGUGUGGAGAAGACAAAAAAGGAUAAAGUCUCACAUUGAUACGGCUAAUCAAUGGGCUAGGGAGAUGCCCAUCAAUUGAUGCCAAUGCAAGGAGUAGGGAUUGCCAUGCAACGGAUGCACUAGAGCUAUAAAUGUAUGAAAGCUCAACAAAAGAAACUAAGUGGGUGUGCAUCCUACUUGCUUGCUCACGAAGACCUAGGGCAUUUGAGGAAGCCCAUUGUUGGAAUAUACAAGCCAAGUUCUAUAAUGAAAAAUUCCCACUAGUAUAUGAAUGUGACAAAAUAAGAGACUCUCUAUCAUAAAGAUCAUGGUGCUACUUUGAAGCACAAGUGUGGAAAAGGGAUAGUAGCAUUGUCCCUUCUUUUUCUUUUUCUUUUUUUUGCCAUCCUUUUUUGGCCUUUCCCUUUUUUUCCUUUUUUUAUUUGGCCUUUCCCUUUUUUUGGCAUUUCUCUUUUUUUUAUGGGACAAUGCUCUAUUAAUGAUGAUCAUCACACUUCUAUUUAUUUACAACUCGAUACUAGAACAAAAUAUGACUCUAUAUGAGUGCCUCCGGCGGUGUACCGGGAUGGACAAUGAAUCAAGAGUGACAUGUAUGAUAAAUUAUGCAUGGUGGCUUUUCCACAAAUACGGUGUCAACUACAUGAUCAUGCAAGGCAAUAUGACAAUGAUGAAGUGUGUCAUAAUAAAUGAAACGGGUGAAAGUUGCAUGGCAAUAUAUCUCGGAAUGGCUAUGGAAAUGCCAUAAUAGGUAGGUAUGGUGGCUGUUUUGAGGAAGAUAUAAGGAGGUUUAUGUGUGAUAGAGCAUAUCAUAUCACGGGGGUUGGAUGCACCAGCGAAGUUUGCACCAACUCUCAAGGUGAGAAAGGGCAAUGCACGGUACCGAAGAGGCUAGCAAUGAUGGAAAGGUGAGAGUGCGUAUAAUCCAUGGACUCAACAUUAGUCAUAAAGAACUCACAUACUUAUUGCAAAAAUCUACAAGUCAUCAAAAACCAAGCACUACAUGCAUGCUCCUAGGGGGAUAGAUUGGUAGAAAAAGACCAUCGCUCGUCCCCGACCGCCACUCAUAAGGAUGACAAUCAAAGAACACCUCAUGUUUCAAAUUUGUCACACAACGUUUACCAUACGUGCAUGCUACGGGACUUGCAAACUCUAACACAAGUAUUUCUCAAAUUCACAACUACUCAACUAGCAUGACUCUAAUAUUGCCAUCUUCAUAUCUCAAAACAAUCAUCAAGUAUCAAACUUCUCAUAGUAUUCAAUGCACUCUAUAUGAAAGUUUUUAUUAUACCCAUCUUGGAUGCCUAUCAUAUUAAGACUAAUUUUAUAGCCAAAGCAAAUUACCAUGCUGUUCUAAAGGACUCAAAAUAAUAUAAGUGAAGCAUGAGAGAUCAAUAAUUUCUAUAAAAUAAAACCACCACCGUGCUCUAAAAGAUAUAAGUGAAGCACUAGAGCAAAAUUAUCUAGCUCAAAAGAUAUAAGUGAAGCACAUAGAGUAUUCUAAUAAAUUCCGAUUCAUGUGUGUCUCUCCAAAAGGUGUGUACAACAAGGAUGAUUGUGGUAAACUAAAAAGCAAAGACUCAAAUCAUACAAGACGCUCCAAGCAAAACACAUAUCAUGUGGUGAAUAAAAAUAUAGCCUCAAGUAAAGUUACGUUACCGAUAGACGAAGACGAAAGAGGGGAUGCCUUCCGGGGUAUCCCCAAGCUUAGGAUUUUGUUUGUCCUUGAAUUUUACCUUGGGGUGCCUUGGGCAUCUCCAAGCUUAGGCUCUUUCCACUCCUUAUUCCAAAAUCCAUCAAAUCUUUACCCAAAAACUUGAAAACUUCAGAACACAAAACUCAACAGAAAAUCUCAUGAGCUUCGUUAGUGUAAGAAAACAAACCACACCCUUAAGGUACUGUAAUGAACUCAUUCUUUAUUUAUAUUGGUGUUAAACCUACUGUAUUCCAACUUCUGUAUGGUUCAUACCCCCCGAUACUAGCCAUAGAUUCAUUAAAAUAAGCAAACAACACACGAAAAACAGAAUCUGUCAAAAACAGAACCGUCUGUAGCACUCUGAUUUGUUCGAAUACUUCUGGAACUCCAAAAAUUAUGAAAAACUAGGACAAAGUGGAUAAUUUGUAUAUUGAUCUACUGCAAAAAGAAUUAGAAAUUUAUCACGUUCUGGUGAAUUUUAAAAGUUAUUUUCGUGAGCGCAAUGUUUCUGUAUUUUUCAGCAAGAUCAAACAAUUAUCACCCAAGAAGAUCCUAUUGGUUCUACUUGUCACAAACACUAAUUAAAACAUAAAAACACAUCCAAACAGAGGCUAGAUGAAAUAUUUAUUACUAAACAGGAACAAAAAGCAAGGAACAAAAAUAAAAUUGGGUUGCCUCCCAACAAGCGCUAUCGUUUAACGCCCCUAGCUAGGCAUAAAAAACAAGAAUAGAUCUAGGUAUUGCCAUAAUGAUAAGGCAAAUCACGAAAACCCAUCUCAUAUUCCCUACGUUCAGAAGCAAGUUUUCUUUUGGGCAAACAAAAGUAAUCAAAAGGGCUAAAUUUGAUGGGACAAAAGUCCCUAAGAUCAAGCUCGGGAGGUAUGGGUUCCUCCUUUGGCCCCUUAUAUUGCACAACCAAUUCAUCAUUAUAAACAUUCUUUUGGCAAAAAGUCAUGAGCCUUUGUUCAAGAGAAAAACCUAACCCAUUGUUUUGAAUAGCAAAAUCAUCAUUAAGUUCAGAGAUUCUAUCAACUAGAACAUCGGUAGGAACCUUCUUUCUAAGGUUUUCAUUAUAAGCAACAUGAUCUAAAGAUUGUAAGCGCAUUAGGUCUUCUUGAUUAAAAAGGAUAGCUUCUAUGGGAGGACGACCAGCGUCCACCCUAUAAUGCGCAAAAAUUUCUUUGGCCUCUUUCAUUAUAAAACUGAACUCAUGUGCCAAAAAGAUAGUAGCUGCUCGCUUAACAGAAGAAUGCUCGAUGUUGGAAAAUUCUUGUAUACAAGGAUGCAUAUGAAUAAACUGUCUUUCAAGUUCAACUACGAGCAAGGAUAUUGCAUCCGCAAGACUACUAGUUCUAUGAAGAAUAGACCCACCCAUAUGGGCAAGGCACCGGCACAAGUAAAGAAAUCUUGAAUAACUCCUUUUCCAAUAAUGUUACCACUACCGAUCCGAAACUUUUUAGUAUGUAAAAUAGUAGGUUCUUCAUGAGGAUCAUCAAAAGCAUCAAAGUUUCCUAUGUUAUUACCACUAUCCUUAUCAAUGAUAACCUCCCCAGUUUCAAACAUGAUGGCAGCAAAUCACACAAAGAGCGAGCGCACAAACGAUAAGCAAAAAGAAGCGGAUGGAAGAGGGCGAAUAGAACGGCAAAGGUGAAGAGAGGGAGAGGAAAAUGAGAGGCAAAUGGCAAAUAAUGUAAUGCGAGGGAUAAGAGUUUGUGAUGGGUACUUGGUAUGUCUUGACUUGUGCAUAGAUCUCUCCGGCAAUGGUGCCAGAAAUCUUUCUUGCUACCUCUUGAGCAUGCGUUGGUUUUCCCUUGAAGAGGAAAGGGUGAUGCAGCAAAGUAGCGUAAGUAUUUCCCUCAGUUUUUGAGAACCAAGGUAUCAAUCCAGUAGGAGACUACACGCGAGUCACCUAGUACCUGCACAAACAAUCUAGAACCUUGCAACCAACGCGAUAAAGGGGUUGUCAAUCCCUUCACGGCCACUUGCAAAAGUGAGAUUUGAUAAAGAUAAUAAGAUAAAUAUUUUUGGUAUUUUUGUCGUAUAGAUUGAAAAGUAAAGAAUGCAAAAUAAACGGCGACAGAAAAUAGCUAGUUGGCGGGAGAUUAAUAUGAUGGAAGAUAGACCCGAGGGCCAUAGGUUUCACUAGUGGCUUAUCUCAAGAUAGCAAAUUCUACGGUGGGUGAACAAAUUACUGUCGAGCAAUUGAUAGAAAAGUGCAUAGUUAUGAGAAUAUCUAGGCAUGAUCAUGUAUAUAGGCAUCACGUCCGUGUCAAGUAGACCGAAACGAUUCUGCAUCUACUACUAUUACUCCACACGUCGACCGCUAUCCAGCAUGCAUCUAGAGUAUUAAGUUCAUAAGAAUAGAGUAACGCAUUAGGCAAGAUGACAUGAUGUAGAGGGAUAAACUCAAGCAAUAUGGUAUAAACCCCAUAUUUUUAUCCUCGAUGGCAACAAUACAAUACGUGCCUUGCUGCCCCUGCUGUCACUGGGAAAGGACACUACAAGAUUGAACCCAAAGCUAAGCACUUCUCCCAUUGCAAGAAAGAUCAAUCUAGUAGGGCAAACCAAACUGAUAAUUCGAAGAGACUUGCAAAGAUAUCAAAUCAUGCAUAUAAGAAUUCAGAGAAGAAUCAAAUAUUGUUCAUAGAUAAUCUUGAUCAUAAACCCACAAUUCAUCGGAUCUCGACUAACACACCACAAAAAGUACUACAACGAAUAGAUCUCCAAGAGAAUCGAGGAUAACUUUGUAUUGAGAUCCAAAGAGGGAGAAGAAGCCAUCUAGCUAAUAACUAUGGACCCGAAGGUCUGUGGUAAAGUAAUCACACAUCAUCAGAGAGGCUAUGGUGUUGAUGUAGAAGCCCUCGUGAUCGAUUCCCCUUCCGGCGGAGCACCGGAAAAGGACCCAAGAUGGGAUCUCAUGGGUACAGAAGGUUGCGGCGGUGGAAAUAGGGUUUCAUGGUGCUCCUGGAUGUUUUCAGGGUAUAUGAGUAUAUAUAGGUGAAAGAAGUAGGUCGGUGGAGCUACGAGGGGCCCAUGAGGGUGGGGGCGCGCCUACCCCCUGGGCGCGCCUCCCUGCCUCGUGGCUGCCUCGUUGCUUCCUUGAUGUCCACUCCAAGUCUCCUGGAUUGCGUUUGUUCCAAAAACGAUCCUCCGAAGGUUUCAUUCCAUUUGGAUUCUGUUUGAUAUUCCUUUUCUGCGAAACACUGAAAUAGGCAAGCAAUUUGCACUGGGCCUUCGGUUAAUAGGUUAGUCCCAAAAAUAAUAUAAAAGUGCAUAAUAAAGCCCAUUAAACAUCCAAAACAGAUAAUAUAAAAGCAUGGAACAAUCAAAAAUUAUAGAUACAUUGGAGACGUAUCACACAGCAGCCGAAGCAGUCAACCAACGUACUCCCCUCCGCGUGGGCAUCCACUGUCGCGUCUUCCCUGGCUCCGCGUCGUCCCCUUCCUAGGCCUCGCCGUCGUCCACCGCCCUGGUGCUCUCGGCGCGGCGUGGUCAAUGUGGUGAACGAACGACUUCCGUCGGAAGAGUACUGUACGUGGAGAGGCUGACAGCUGGGUCCACAGACGCAGCAAGGAAGUGCUUCCUUAUUACACGCAAAAUAAUUAUUCCUCCACCUGACAGCAGGGACCCACCGGACGGGCCACCAUAUUUCGUAAAAAAAACGUUUCCCCCCAGACUGCUGGGACCCACCAGCUACAUCUUCGCACGCAAGAAGUGCCUGACAGUCGGGACCCACCUGGUCGAAGUGUACGUAGCGUUGUCAUUCUGGUGGCGAACGUGUACAUACAUACUAGUCGAUCGGUCUGUCUGCAGGCUCCAGCGAUGAACCAUGGCCAUGUAAGGAAGGGCACGUGUCGUAGUAGAGGCACGCAUGUAGCAUGUACACGUACGUACAGUGGCCAGGGUGCAAGAAAGAAAAUACGGCCACGUACGUACAUAUGGGCGGGGUCUCGAACGCCUACUCGCGCAUACGUACGGCCAUGGCUCGUGUACAUGGCUGGGUCGGAAUGGAGAAGCUGCGUUGUCGUCGUGUUCAUGCGGAGGCAACCGGCUGGGUCAGAACGGAAUGCGUCGUCGUGUUCAUUGGGAGCCAACCGGCUUGGACGGAACAGGCGAUGGAAACGAGGCCUGGUGUACCGCAGAACGGAGGAAACGGCCUUGUGUUCGACCGGCCACGGUCGAAACGGGAUCAUGUUCAUUGGGAGGGGUCUGGGGUACCACAAAACGGAGGAAACGGACCUCCUACGGUUGAAAUGGGGUCCCUUCUCCGAUUUCUUCAGCGACAUCAUGCACACCUUUGGCUUCCACCUCUUGGAUUUUACCCCGAAUGCGGUGGCGUGCAUGGCCCUUUUCGCGCACCUCUGCGAGGGUUUCGCCGGAGUGCACCCCAACACGGCGCUCUUCCGCCAUUACUUCUUCCCUCGGAUCCAGACGGGAGGCGCCAUUUCGGGUUGCAUCGCCUGGAUCCCAAGAUCCAAGGGGAUGGUGCCAUGAAGGAGAGGUGGGAAGAAUGGCGAGGCCGGUGGUGCUGGAUCGAGGAGAAGGACCCACCGGCGUUUUGCGAAGUUCGCCGUGUGCCGCCGGUCCGCAGAAGCGAUUGGAGCGACGUCGACGCCAACGACGAGAAGCUCAUGGUCGCCACCACCAAGAUCAUGUGGCUCACCGAGGUCGGCCUCACCCUUGAGAUGAUCGGGGCGGACUUCAUCCGCCGCCAGAUCACCCCACUGCAUAACAAGGGGAGGCCAGCCUGGCUCUUCACGAACCCCGCCGACAUCAUGCGGCUUCGCCCCGGCCUCGACCACAACUUCACGAUGAUGGGGCAUGCCCAUUUCUGCCAGCGGCUCUUCCAGCUCGAUGUGGGCCGCGACGGCGAGGUCGAGCGGACUGGCAAGGUCGCGAGGGCCGCCACGAAGGCUGGCAAGGUUCUCAAGGGGCCUUUGUUCAAGCUGCCGACGGGCGUGGUCCCGUUGUGUAAUAACUCGCACCGGUCCGAUAUCAUCGCCAUGAUGCCGGACUGCAACACGCAUGGCCCUGACCCGAGCUGGAAGGAGCCGGAGGACGCUGAGGUGCAGUAGUUCUUUGACACUCUGCACGAGGGGUACGUCAACGCCGACGCCGAGCGGCUGCUCGUCCAGGACACCACUCAGGCGGAACUGGACUACAUCGCCACCAGGGCGAGGGAGGUGCAGCUCGCCGAGGAGGCCGGCAGCACUGGUGGUGUGGAGGACAGGGCUGCGACGGCUGCGGAGGAGGAGGAGCUCACCCGGUGGGCGGUGGUCGCCGGGAAAGCCAGCAGCGCCGACCCUAAGGCUCCUCUGGUUGAGGAAGCGGCCGACGAGUCGUCGGAAGAGGAGGCUGGGGCCGUUGACCCUCCGGCCACGGGGAAAGGGCGAGUCUUGUGGCAGGCCACCUCCGGCGAGCCGGUGCGGCCUGUCAGGGCCGCACGGCGGCCAAAGUACCCGGAGGAGGCCGCGCGUCAGACGAGGGCCGCGGCGGCGAAGAAGGUGGUGAAGGCUGCGGCAGCGAGGAAUAAGGCAUCUGCUUCUUCUCCGUCCACGCACACGCAGACUCCGCCCUCCUCCCCUCCUUCGACAGACGCCAACGCAAGGGUCUAUUUCGAUUAUGGAUCCCUCAACCCGAGGAGGAAGAGGAAGACAGCAGGGGAGGAGGCGGACGACAAGUAAGUAUCUAGUUCCUUUUCGUUAUCUCUGCCUCCUCAAUCUGUGUCGCUUGUCUUAACUUGUCUUUGUCUUCGCAGGGACGUGGAGAUGCUGGCCCAGAGAGUGAAGAGGGCCAAGGUCUCGGCGGGUGGCCAGCCCCCGGCUGGUACUUCGAGGGCGCCACUGGUGGUGUUGAGCCGCCCGGACAACAGCCCCCGGCAUAGCCCCCAGUGUAAGUUCAUCACUCUUCCCUCGUCGACAUGUGUCACGGGCACGACACUUUGGUGCUGACCUUGCCAAGUACGCAGGAGGAGAGCAGCAGCAGGAGGAGCCGCAGAGGGCUACUCCCAACACGCCGCCCCCAUCGACCACGCCGCCCCGAGGGGCGUCCCCGGCAAGGGCGCCAAGCACCGAGCCCAAGCACAUGGAGGAGGAGGAGGAGAACUUGGGCGCCGGCGGCUUUGCCGCGACGCCAAAUGUCGGCGGGGAGGGGACUUCUUUCUUCCGCCCCGGCACUGGUGCUGGUAAGUCGCUCGCCGUUCGUCCCCGUUCCUUUUUCUUUCAGGCUCUUGGUCUUGGCCUUGCCUCACUCCCUUCUUUGGUGUCCAAAUCCCUCCUCGGUGAACCCAGAGGACGUGGACACCGUCAUCGAGGACGUUGCCAAGGCCGCCGAGGCGGACGCCGAGAAGAUCGCCGCGGAGGAGGCCGCCAAGGGCGCUGUUGAGGACGCCGCCAAGGGGCCCGCCGGGGAGGCCGGCAAGGCCGCCGCUGAGGAGACCGGCAAGGGGCCUGCCGGGGAGGCCGGCGGGGCCGCUGCCGAGGAGGAGGAGGUGGCUGAUGACCAGCCUUCCUCUUCUGCUGCUUCCGGCUCCGGCAAGUACCUGAGAGUGAGUGACGACUUGUUCGUCCACCUUCCAGGCUCGUCGAGCACCAGGACACCCGUUGAGGGAGAGGUGUUUGACGACGAAGUGCUCGCCGCUGCCGGGCUUGAAGUCGUCGACGAGCCGAUCGUUGGCGGCGACGGCUCGCAGGAAGAGAGGCUCCUCCACGCCAUGGGCGCCAGCUACCGGAAGCUCCAGGCGCUCCACCGCGCCCUCCUGGACAAAGCUAAGUCCAGGACGGCGGUGGUGGAGAAAGCGGAGGCGGACCUCCAGAAGCGCGUCGCCGAGACGCAGGACUGGUUCCGCGAGGCUCACAAGGAGCUGAAGGCCGCCCAGGGCAAGCUGGCCAAGCGCGAUCUGGAGCUCACCAUGAAGCUGGCCGACAUCGAGAAGGCCCAGGAGACGGCAGAGGGCUUGGCCGCGGCAGCCGAGGCCGCCCGGACUCAGCACCAUGCCGCACUGAACUCCCAGGAGGAGGACCUCGCUGCGCGCGAGGAGAGGCUUGUCGCCACGCUCCGCGGCAAGGAUGAAGAGGUGGAGAAACUUGUCUUGCAGCGGACCAGUGAGCUGGAGCAGAGGCACAAAGAGGCACUCGAUGCCCAGGCCCAGGUUCACGCCGACAAGGUGAAGGAGCUGGAGGCGGAGCGGGACGGGCUGAAGGAGUAGGCCCUGAAGCUAUCCCAGGAGAAGGACACGCUCAACAGUGCCCUGACAGAGGCGCAGGGCGCGGUCGUCAGCAGGGCCGGGGAGCUCUCCGAGGCCAACAAGUCCAUCAAGGACCUCGUGCUGAAGCUGGAGGGCCUCGAGGGGAUGCUCACGGAGGCCAAAACCCGGGAGGGGAUCCUGGCCAAGGAGCUGGAGACCGAGAAGCAGUUGCGGAAGAACGAGGCCCUCAACUUCAUGGAUCACGUGGAGGGCGAGAACCGCUGGCUCGAUCGCCUUGCCACCGUUGCCAACCAGGCCGCCGCGCAGCUAGCCACCAUGGGGAUGCCGGACGUGAGGUAUGCCCCAGAGCGGAGCGUGAGCGCCAACUGCAGCCUGGCCCUGUUCUUUGAGAAGGUCAUCGGUGCUUUGGAGCGGCUUCACGCCAACCGGGCGGCCUCGCUGGCCGACGAGGCCCGGAGGCUUUGCCAGGGUGCCAUGACCAAGGUUCUCACCAAGGUGGCAUACUGGUACCCCGACCUCGACUUCGACGCCGCGCUGGAGAGCUUGCCGGAGGAUACUGACCUCGCGCCGCUCAGGGAGCGCAUCAAGCCCAUCAUCAGCCACGCCGGCGGAAUUCAGACGGUAGAGGGCCAGCGCCGAGAUUAGGCACCCCGUUUCUUAUCGCCGCUGCAGGUUCACAACCAAGACAAUCGCUAUCUCUAGUUAGAACCGCAGCAACAAUUUAAUGUAAUAUGACUCUGCAGCACUUUUAGUAUCAUGCAUGUUAUUUUCCUGUUCAAUUUUUCCUUGUAUGUCCACCCUACGUAACUGGGUAGGCUCGCCGGGGCGUAAACCCAGGGCGGCAUCUCGGGGACGGAUCCCCAUUGGCAUGCUGGGUGUGCUUGCUGCCGGGCGAACCACCUUACCGCCCUUAGCGCGGCCGCCCAAACUGUCGAGCUUGACUCGAGUCAGAGUCGGGAGCGUUGCCAAGUGCGGAAGGCUACCCCGCCACUCUCGACACGGCCGCUUUGAGCUGUUGAGUGGACUCGAAAUAGAACAAGGGCGUUGACAAUCGCGGGAGGGCCCUCUUCGCGUGCAGGUUUUCCAUACAUAGGCAAGAUCUCCGAGGACGAUAACCUUAUGUAUAAAAGGGAAUAACUCAAAGCUCUGAAUGACUUAGCUUUUCUAUCACCGCACUGGCGUCCUUCGCGUUUGCAGGCAGCGCUCUUUUCUCCUGGCCGUCUCUUUCUUGGGAGCCAUGGCGACGAAGAACUGCCAGGCUAACUACUAGACCAGAUUCUCACAAUUGCGCCCUCUACCUGGCGCGCCAAAGAUGUCGGUGUGGAACGACACCUACGGGAUCACAAGAAUCCCUACUAUGGUUGCCGGGGCGCAGGGUUGCAAGAAGAGCUGGAUCAGUAGUCAGCACGAGGAUCGUUUACCCAGGUUCGGGCCGCGAGGAUGCGUAAAACCCUAGUCCUGCUUUUGGUGGGUGUAUUUCAGAGAGUUCUUGAGCUCUCGAACUAGCUGUGGUGAGUGUGUGGUUCGAAAGAGCCGAAUCCUUCUCCAGUAUGCCAUGCGCCUCCUUUUAUAGUCGAAAGGGGCUGCCACAGUGGCACACAGGAGGUGGAAAGGCGCACAGUGCUAUGAGCUUAUCGCUCGUAUUACAGGACAAGACGCAUUUAAUGCACUGCUGAGGUGUCCCCUAGCUUUAUCGGGGACGGGGGCGAGGCCCGUCCCGUCCGUCGCUGCUCCCCCUCGCUUCGACACGCGCCCUGGCCAGCGAUGCGUGCGGCGCCAUGUAGGCAGGCUUGCAGCUGAGGUGGCGCGGUGGUAGGGUCUUCACGAAGAUCUGCAUGCCGCCAUGCAGGCGCCUGCUGAGUUGGCCUGGAAGCUGCAUGUUGCCACGCAGGUGCCUACCCAUCUGGUUUGGGCUGGCAGCUGCAUGCGAACGGUGGUGGAGACUUGGGUGGCGCAGGCCUGGCAGUGGCCCUGCUGGCUUCUUCGGCGAGGGCCUUGCUGGGGGGCCCAGCAAGGGUCUUGCCGUGGCACGCUGUCGUCCCCGGCAAGGAUCUUGCCGGGGGUCUUGUGGCUCUCCUCGGUAAGGAUCUUGCCGAGGAUUGCUGUCUUCUAACCCUCAUCUGAUCUUGAAUAUGUCUUCACAAAGAUCUGCAUGCCACCACAGAGGUGCCUCCCGAGCCCGGGCCCCAUGUGGAUGAUGGUGUUGGGGACCAUGGGCUCAAGGGUGGCUCGCUGUCGGGUGGUUGGUGCGACAUAUGCCAAGGGAUGGCUUAUCAUUGUGGGAGCCAAUAAAACGUCGCCGGUGCCCGGAAGCGGGAUAAGGCGAAGAUAUGCACGCCGGCGAAUCUUACCCAGGUUCGGGGCUCUCCGAGGAGAUAACACCCCUAGUCCUGCUCUGCGGGGUCUCCGCAUGAUCACUAGAUCGAUAAAGGGUAGCUACAAUCGCUCCUAGAGCUGUUGAGAUCAAGGGAGAAGAAGAACAAGGCUAGCUCUUGCUUCUCUCUAUCUAUGGUGUGUGUGCUAUGCAUGGGUGUUAACCUAGAAGCCAACCCUUUGCAUGGGUGCUCCGGGGGGUUUAUAUAGGCCUACCCCCCGGGGGUACAAUGGUAAUCCGGCUGGGAACUGGUCCCAGCCGUCAGUGUCUACGCUCACCGGCUUCUCCGCCGGCUGCUGGGUCACACCGGCUGGUGGGUCCCGUCGGCUGCCGGCUACUUGGUCAACAGGCCGGCCCCACCGCCUAGGGUCUUGUCGGCGGCUGCUUACUGUAGCCGCGCCUCUGAUGAUGAGGGCUUUGUCGAGGUAAGCGUGGCUACAGUGAUCCGCCUCGGAGGCUAUCACUGUAGCCUCACCUCGUCUUGUCUCCUUAAUGGGGCUCCUGCUUCGAGGAAGGGAGUAGCCGGCUUCUGGAGGCCGGCUAUACUCUUGGCCGACUAGGAAAAGCCGGGCCCCCUUCGCGCCUCUCUCUGGCUGAAGGGGCCCGCAGUCCUCAGGCCGUACAGGAGUGGGUCGUGGAUGACGUCGAGGCCAGCGUGGCUACAGUGCCGAGCCGCACGGGAGACGUCCCUCCCGUACGGCUUCCUGUAGCCAUGCCCGCCUCGGGCUUCGGGGGUCGUGGGCCGCACUGUGGCCACACCCCGUCACGUCGCCGUUAUGUAGGAGUGGUUGUGGUCUUGGCCGGCUCCUAGGAGUCGGCGUCCUUCUUGGCCGGCUUCUUGGAGUUGAUGAGGCUGGGUCGCCUUCCGGGGGUCGGCUUUAGUGGUAGCCGGCCGGGGAAGGCGGCCCAAAUGCUUGGAGUGCUUGAAGGCCCAAAGGCCUGAUAAAUUUUCCGAAGAGCCAGGGGUAGUCGGUUAGGCUACCCGUGGCCAUUUACUCCGACAGUAGUCCCCGAAGCUGGUUGGGCUUCGAGGUGGAGUGGGGUUCAAGAAGCUCGAUCAGCUUCCUAUCGUGACAAGCCGGCAGCUGGGAGCCGGCCUUGGUCAGGCGCGCCGCCUUAGUCGAAUUCUUCUGGAGUCGGGGGGGCGGGAAUCCGCAGGCACGUGCACCGGGCCGCGGGCCGGCCUCGGGCCGUUGGCGUGCCACGUGGCCGGAAAGCCUGCCAGCCCACGCGCGUGACGGGACGUCGCCGCAGGGAGGGGGCCCGCCACGUCCGCGCCCCGGCCCAGGCGCGGAUCCUUUGUAUCCCGAAACCGCCCGCACGUUCCGUGCGGCAGUUUCGGCUCGCACUUAUGCGUAAUAAACGCGAGACGUGGGGGGAGUGGGCGCAGUUAAUCCCACGUCUCCCCCCACGUCCGGCCUCUUCGGCCGCGUGAGGCUAUAAGUAGGGGGAGGUGGAGGGCGGCAGGCCCUCGCACGCUCCUCCUACUUCCACCGUCUUCUUGCCUUGCUCGUUCUCGCGACAGCGCCUCGCCGCCGCGCUUCUUCCUCCGCACGCUCCUCCGCCGCCGUGCUAGCUUCCGCUAUGCCUCCCCACGUAGAGCAGCUUGGCGGGGAUUGGGACGGCUCCAUCGUCCAUAACGACCACAUCGACUUCCUCCGCGACACCCUGCGUCUGCCCAGUGCGGACAAAGUGGAGGUCCGCCUCGCACCGGAGAAGGAAAUCAGGCCGGCGCCGCGGGAGGGCGAGCGGGUGGUCUUCCGCUCGCACUUCCUGCGCGGCUUCGGCCUGCCAGUGAGCGCCUUCUUCCGCUCCUGGCUGGAAUUCUAUCAGCUCCAGCCGCACCACCUCACCCCCAACGCGGUGGUGCUGCUGUCGGCCUUCGUCACCCUGUGCGAGGGCUAUCUCGGCGUCCUCCCCACCCUUGAGCUCUGGGGGGAGUUCUUCCAGUCGAAGCUGGGCACGCGCAGUAAAGGCAUGCCGGCUCAUAUUGGCGCCUUCAUCGCGUCGCGGAGAUCGGGCGCCGACAACCCCUUCCCCGUCAUCACGCUGAUCCAAUCGGUGAAGAAGUGGCAGAAGUCGUACUUCUACGUGUGGAACAUCGCUCCACGGGGCGACUACAUCAACCUGCCGGCUUACGUAGCCGGCCCACCGACGGGGAGGCUGCCCCAGUGGUCCUUCCGGGCGGUGACGCUGUCGCAGGGAGGAAACGCCGCCAUCGCCCGCCUGCGGGUGAUGGUCCAGUCGGAGGGCCUGACGGGGCCCGACCUCCUGGCCGCGUUCAUCACGCGCUGGGUCCUUCCGCUCCAGAGCCGGCCUCAUCUGAUCUGUCAGAUGAGCGGCCAGCUCGAUCCGAGCCGAAUGUGCACCAAGGAGAUGCCGCAGCCCGACGCCGCCGACAUGGUGAAUUACCUCGCCAACUGCCAACUUUCCGAAGACUGGCAAUUCGGCAAGGAGCCAUAUAGCCGUGCCAAUCCUCCGCCUAUGGUACGCUCCCCUCGUCUCUUUUUCUCUCUCUCUCUCAGCUUUGUCGCCGAGUUCCUCUGGGCCGACUCUAACUCAGUCGGCUUGCUCUUUUGACAGAGUCCUCUGCUUCGGCCGGCCGGCGGGACAGACGUGGAGCGCCGCUUCGUCCCCGACCGGACCGAACACGACCAGGAGGACCCCCGACCUGGGGGCGGUCCAUAUGGAGGAUGCCGUCGAGCCGGCCGGUGGCCAAGCCGGCGGCGAAGCAGGCGGCUCCGGGUUCACCGCUACCUUCGACGACUGGCCGGACGAGGACGAAGCCGAAGCCGUCCCGCACCGCCAGCCGGCAUCCGGACGCGGCGCGGGCUCCUCCGGCGCGCUGCCUGCUCGGGGUAGAGGCCAGAAACGUCGCGCCGCCCAGGGCAUGUUCGGCAGCCGGACGAAGAAGCCCAGGGGUGGGGCGGCAGCCACCAGGCGGGAAGAGGCGGCCGCGAAGGCGGCUCGCUUCCGCAAAGUGGUGAAGCAGCCGCAGACUGUGUCGGCGUAAGUUCUCUCUUUCUAUGUACUCUCCUUCUUUCUUUUCUUGGGUGGUUCUUGAACCUUCGUCUUCUUUUUCAACGGUCAGAGCUCCGCUGUCACUUGAGCGGGCGGCUGCCGGCUCCGUCGUCGAGUCACCAGGGGGCUCUGGGAGCACCACCCGCCGCGUAGAUCCCCGCGCCGCCCUCCUGGAGGCGACGGAAAGGAACGCGCGGGAGGUGCGGGAGGAGCAGGAAGCGCGGGAGGCGGAGGCACGGAGGGCAGCCGCCGCCCAGGCAGCUCGGGAGGAGGAGGCGGCGAAGGCGCUCGCCGAGGCCGCAGCCAAGGCCCAGGCAGAGGCCGAGGCCGAGGCGGCGGCAGGGGACGCUUUGAUGGUCACCCCCCUGCGCACCAUGGCGCCAGGGGACGUGGAUCCCUCGCCAGGGGGAGCCAGCGGUUCCCAGCCGGGGCUGGGAGGAAGCGGCGACGACGUCAUCAUCUUGGGGGAGGCGCCGGGGCCGACUCCUCCGACUAAGGCGGCCCAAGGCGGCCAGCCUGAGCCUGCGCCCGCACAGUCGGCGGAGGGCGAGCCGGCCACGGGAGCUGAGGUGGCGGUCCGGGUUCCGCCAAGUCGGCGUGCAGGGAAGGCCGCGUCGGAGCCGCAGAAGGCUGUGUCGGAGCCACAUCCGGCCGUGGGCUCCAGCUCGUCGGCCCGAGACGCGGAGGCGGCCAGCGCUACCUCGGGGUGGACGCCGGGCAGAGGAACAGCCGUGGUGAACGUCGCUGCACAAGACGUCCGGGCCCGGCUCCAAAGCCAAGCCGCGGCGCUGAGGCAGUUCACCGACGAAUUCCUCGCAACGCGGGCAGCCAUCCGGGUUAGCAUUCCUAUCUUGUUCUUUCUUGAUCUUGAUUUCUCUUCUUGAUCUUGAUUUCUCUUCUUGAUCUUGAUUUCUCUCGUGGGGGCGCGUCAGCGCACCCACUGGGUGUAGUCCCCGAGUUCCGAGUCGGCUGCUGAGCAGGCGGCUUGGAACUUCUUCGAGAUUUUCUCUUUGCUGCUUUUGUUCUCACUUCGGUCUUCUGUCCGUCUUGCAGGACUACCACAACCUCCGAGCGGCCGCCUUCAACUCCCAGGCUCGGGAGCUGACUCAGAAGACCGCCGAUCUUACUGAGAGCCGAGGUAUGUGACUUGAUCUUUAUCUCAUGUGGGGGCGCGUCAGCGCACCCACUGGGUGUAGUCCCCGAGAUUCAGGCCGACUGCUGAGCAGUCAGCUCGGAUCUUCCUUGAUGAUUCCUUAUUGUUCUUCUUCUAUCUCUGCAGCGGCCAACGCCAGUCUGAGGGCACAGCUGGGGGAAUCCCAGACUGCUCUUCGUGCCAAGGACGCAGAGCUCGCCGCCUUGGUGCAGGAGCGCGACCGCUUGGUCAAGAAGCUGGCCGACCAGGAGGAAGGCCACAAGGCUGCGCUGAAGGCUGCGCAGGAUCGCGAAGCCACCCUCCAGGCCGAGUUCGAGACGGAGGCGGCCGGCUGGGCAGAGGCCAGGCAGACUCUAGUCUCCGGCUAUGGUCAGAUUGAGGAUCUGGUUGACGGUAAGUCGUCUACCCCUUCAUCCUUUCUUGCCAUCUGCUACUUUGACUUGCUUUUCUGAUUUUGGUGUUCUUCUUUUCUUUUCUUCUUCGCGCAGAGUACUUCCCUGGCUACUCAACUGCCGCCAACCAGGCCGUCGAAGCCCGUCGCCAGGCGAAGAGGCAAGCCGGCUUCGAGAUCUCGCCAACCGCCGGCCGCUCGCUGGAAGAACAGCUCCUGGCGAUCCAGGCUCGCAUCCAGCCGGCUCACAGGCUGCUCCGCCGGCUUUAGCGCGCGGGAUCGCAGGUCUUGGCCGCCCUCUGGCCCGGGCAAGUGGUCCCUCGCACCCCCAGUCGGACCGCCGACUGGCUGGAGGUGGCAGUCGGCCGCUUCGAGGCUUGGAAGGCGUCAGCAGCUCGCUCCGGCGCCAGGCGGGCGCUGGAGUUCAUCAAGGCCUGGUAUCCCGGCCUGAACCUGGACCAGCUGGCUACCUGGCGGCAGCAAGCCGACACGGAGCUGGAGCCGGCGCGGCCGGCCAUCAUUCGGCGGGCUUCAGCGAUCGCCGACUACACCGACACCAACGUCUUCGCCCCCGAGGUGGACGACAAUGGAGUCGCCCAGCCGGAAGAUUGGUUCGGGCUGGACCCGGCGUACGGCGAGGACUCGGCGGAGGAGAUCGACUCCAGCGACGAGGGCGAAGAGGAGGAGGAGGAGGGUGAAGACGCCGAGCCGGCUGGGGGAGUAGCCGGCCAGCCUGACCGCGCCUCCAGCACUACGUCGCGUGCGAGUGCGUCUCCUGCCGCGGGAGGUGGUCAAGCCGGGACUAGCUAGGCGGCCACUCCUUCAGCCGGCGAGGCCGCCUUCACCGACCAGCUCGGCUUUCCUGUCGCGCCUUAGUCUUCUUUCUUUUGUUUUCCUGUCUUGUUACUUUUGAACAAUGUUUGGUUAAGUCUGCACAAUUCCACCCACUGGGUGUAUUCAAACUCAAGUUUGUUGCCAGCCUAUGGGCGGCUUUAUGUAUAUAAGUUAUGCAAUUGGUCUUUCCUUGUACUUUUGCUUUUUGUCCUUCUGCUUUUUUCCUUUGCCGCCCUCCCUUGGUUGCCGCCUCCCUAGUCAAACAGUUGCUCUACAAUCUGUAGCCGAGGAGUGCCUGGCCGAUUGGGGAGGGGGAAGUACUUUUAGCUUUGCCGGACUUAGGCUAAGUUUUUUAGGAAGCCGGCCAGCCGGCUGCUUUGACAGCCGGCAGGCAUGUUUGGAGGCCGUCUCUUUGCUAUAUAGGUUAGUUGUUCCUUAGCCGUUUUUCGUGUGGGCGUCCUUUCUGUCUUCUCUCUUGCUAGUCGGACAGUCAGUUCUUUGAGCUGCGACUUUCAACAAGAGAGGACUUGGGAGCCGGCGCACUACUUUGCUGACUUCGGGAAGAACUUUGAAUAUAGCUCAAGGCGGCCAGUCCCCGGGCCGACUAGUCGGACCCGGUGCCGAACAAGAAUUCAAAAUGUAAUAAUACAUUCAUGGAUAUGAUACUCGUUAUUCAUAGAUAAACAAAAAGGCAGUCCCCGAGUACUGGUCGGGGGGCCUGUUGGUUUGUACUUAAUACAAAAGGGGUAGCGUGAUACAUACUGCUUUUCAGCUGUAAAAUCGUCUUAGGAGGUUUGCGUUCCAUGGUCGCUCCGACUCCUUGCCGGAGUCGUCUCUCUUGCGUGCUCUUGGUUUUUGUGCGUCGAUCAAGUAGUAGGAGUCGUUGCCGAGUGCCUUGCUGACGACGAAAGGGCCUUCCCAAGGGGCCGAGAGCUUGUGCUGGCCGGCUGUUCGCUGGAUCAGCCGGAGCACAAGGUCGCCCUCUUGGAAGGAUCUUGGCUUGACCUUGCGGUUGUAGUAGCGGCGCAGGCCUUGCUGGUAGAUGGUGGACCGGCUGAGGGCUAAUAGCCGGCCUUCUUCUAGUAGGUCGACGCCGUCUUCUCUUGCUUCUUUGGCUUCCUCCUCCAUGUACAUGGUGAUCCGAGGCGAGUCGAACUCGAUGUCUAUUGGGAUGACGGCCUCGGCACCGUACACAAGGAAGAAUGGAGUGAAGCCGGUUGACUUGUUGGGUGUAGUGCGCAGACUCCAGAGGACAGCCGGCAGCUCUUCGAGCCAGCAGCCGGCCGAUCGCUCCAGUGGUACAACCAGUCGGGGCUUGAUGCCGGAGAGGAUAAGUCCAUUUGCUCGCUCGACCUGGCCGUUUGACUGCGGGUGGGCAAUGGACGCUAAGUCCAGUCGGAUGCCCUGCGUCGCGCAGAAACAUGCCAGUGCGCCUUUGGCGAAGUUCGUGCCGUUGUCGGUGAUGAUGCUGUGCGGCACGCCGUACCGAGUAGUGAUGUCGGUGAUGAAUGUCACGACAGUCGGCCCGUUCAGCUUCUUAAUUGGCUUGGCUUCAAUCCACUUUGUGAACUUGUCCACCGCAACGAGUAGAUGUGUCAAGCCACCGCGGGCUGUCUUGAAAGGGCCCACCAUGUCCAGUCCCCAGACGGCAAAAGGCCAGGUGAGGGGAAUGGUCUUGAGGGCAGAAGCCAGCAGGUGUUGUUUGGAACUGAAGACUUGACAUCCUCUGCAGCUCUUGACUAUUUCUUUAGCAUCCUCCAAGGCAGUCGGCCAGAAGAACCCAUGGCGGAAAGCCUUGGCCACGAGGGAUCUUGAGGCGGCGUGAUGGCCGCAUUCGCCUUGGUGGAUGUCUUUGAGGAUUGCCACUCCUUUUUCUAGCUCGACGCAACGCUGGAAGACUCCAGUGACGCUGCGCUUCACGAGCUCCCUGUUGAUUAUUGUGUAUGCUGCGGCUCGUCGUUGCACUAGUCUUGCUGCGAUCUCAUCAGCCGGCAGCUCUCUGCUGACUAGGAACUUGAGGAUGGGCUGGGCCCAUGAGGGAGCUGUGACUUCUUCUGCUGUUAAUGUGGCCACCAUGACUCGGGUGGGUGGGUUGGGUGUUGCAUUGGAGUCGACCACCGCUUCUUGUGUCGUUCCAAUCCCCGGGCCGACUGCUGCAGUCCCCGGGCCGGGUUCUGAAGUCCCUGGGCCGGGUGCGACUACGUCAGUCCUCGGGGCAGUCGUCGAAGUCCCCGUGCCGCCUGUGGGGUUUCUUGAGCCGGAUCCGGCUGUUUCCGACGCAGGCGGUACGAAGAUGGAAUCCGACUCUGGAGACGGCUUGAUGGACGGCUUGAGGAGGCGCUGGAGGGAGACGCCAGUCGGUAUGGCUUGUCGGGUGGAGCCGAUCCGUGCUAGGGCAUCUGCUUGGUCGUUGUCGGCCCUUGGCACGUGAAGGAACUCGCACCCUUCGAAGUAUCCGCUCAUCUGCUGGACGAGGAAACGGUAGCUCGCCAUGUUCGCGUCCUUGGCGUCCCAGUCGCCAGAUGAUUGCUGGACCACCAAGUCUGAGUCGCCGUAGCAUAGGAUCCGGCGUAUGCCGAGUUCUUUGGCUAGCCGGAGCCCAUGUACGAGCGCCUCGUACUCGGCCACGUUGUUGGAGGCGGCGAAGUGGAUCUGCAGCGUGUACUUGAGCUUGUCGCCUUUGGGAGAGGUGAGGACGAUGCCGGCUCCCAAGCCGGUGCGCAUCUUGGACCCGUCAAAGUGCAUCCGCCAAUGGGUAGAGUCGGGAGCCGGCGGUAAGUACUGGGUCUCGGCCCAGUCGAUGAGGAAGUCGGCCAAUGCUUGCGACUUGAUGGCGGUGCGGGGUUGAUAGAAAAUCGUGUAGGGCGCCAAGGCAAUGGCCCAUUUGGCCACCCGGCCGGAUGCAUCCCGGCUGCCUAUGAUCUCGGCAAGCGGGGCAGUGCACACGACCGUGAUGGGGUGCUCUUGGAAGUAGGGCUUCAAUUUCUUGGCAGCGAAGUACACCCCAUAGCACAUCUUCUGGUAGUGCGGGUAGUUUUGCUUUGAGCUGGACAGUACUUCGCUGAGAUAGUAGACCGGCCUCUGGACCAGCUGGGCUCGGCCUUCCUCCAGGCGCUGGACCACAACAACAGUGCUGACGACUCGGCUUGUCGCGGUGAUGUAGAGGAGCAUGGGCUCCUUCUCAGUCAGCGCGGCCAGGACAGGCGGAGUGGUCAACAUUUUCUUCAACUCAUGGAAGGCUUGGUCGGCUUGAUCAUUCCACUCAAAGUGAGUGGACUUCUUCAUGAGUCGGUACAGGGGGAGAGCCUUUUCUCCUAGUCGGCUGAUAAAACGGUUCAGGGAGGCUAAGCAGCCAGUGAACUUCUGCACAUCUCGCUGCUUGGUGGGAAUCUCCAUCCUCUCGAUGGCCUUGAUCUUGACAGGGUUGCACUCAAUGCCGCGUUCGGAGACCAGGAAGCCUAGCAGCUGGCCGGCUGGCACUCCGAACACGCACUUCUCGGGGUUAAGCUUGAUCUGGAAUCGGCGCAAGUUGGCAAAUGUUUCCUUCAGGUCUUCCAGCAAGGUACCGCGCUUCUCUGUCUUCACCACAAUGUCGUCUACGUAGACGUGGGCAUUUCUGCCGAGUUGUUUCAAGAGACAUUUCUGCAUGCAACGCUGAAAAGUGGCACCGGCAUUUCUCAAGCCGAAUGUCAUUGUCAGGUAGCAGAAAGCUCCAAAGGGUGUAAUGAAGGCAGUCUUCAGGCGGUCAGCCGGGUCCAACUUGAUCUGAUGAUACCCUGAGUAUGCAUCCAAAAAACUUAACAGCUCGCAUCCGGCUGUGGAGUCUAUCACUUGGUCAAUCCGUGGCAAAGCAAACGGAUCCUUUGGGCAGGCCUUGUUCAAACUUGUGUAGUCUAUACACAUGCGCCACUUGUUAUUAUUCUUCAAAACCAGAACUGGAUUGGCAAGCCAUUCUGGAAAGAACACUUCCAUGAUGAAGCCGGCUGCAAGGAGCCGGGCUAUCUCUUCUCCAACGAUUCUUCGCUUCUCUUCUGAUAGUCGGCGGAGGGGUUGCUUGACCAGCUUCGCAUCAACUCGGACAUGUAAUUUGUGCUCGGCGAAAUCCUUCGGGACACCCAUGUCCUUUGGGGACCAUGCAAAGAUGUCUCGAUUCUCACGGAGGAAGUCGACGAGCUCGCCUUCCUAUUUACUGUCCAAGUUCGCCCCAAUCACGGCGAACCUCUCCGGGUGCUCCGGGUCUAGAGGUAUCUUCUUCGUCUCUUUGGCAGGCUGGAAGGAGCCCUGUGCAUCACAGUCCUUGGGGUUGGGGGACAAGGCCGGCUGCUUGCCGGCCAUGGCCACAACCCGCUCCAACAUCUUCUUCUCUUCGGCCACCACGAGGGACUUGGCCAGCCGGCUGCUGGCCAUGGCAAACUCGAUGGACUUCUUGUAGUCGCCGGCUACCGUGAUGAUCCCCUUCGAGCUCGGCAUCUUCAUCUUCAGGUAGGCGUAGUGGGGCACAACCAUGAAUUUGGCCAAGGCAGGUCGGCCAAGUAGUGCAUGAUAGGGGCUCUCCAAGUCCACCACCUCGAACCAUAUUGCUUCCCGGCGAAAGUGAUCUUUGUCUCUAAAGAGAACAUCCAUCUUGAUCUUGCCGAUUGGAGAGCAAGAUAGGCCGGGUACGAUACCAUGGAAAACGGUGCGGCUCGGCAUGAGCUGCUUCGCUUUGAUGUUCAGCUUGUCCAUGGUAUCGCGGUACAGUAUGUUGAUACUUUCCGCCGUCUAUCAGGACGCGGGAAAAUAUGGCAGCUCGCCUCUCCGUCGCAAGGGUGACGUCCAAGACCAUAGCAUAGGAGCCAGGCGAAGGCAUCACCUCUGGGUGGUCGGCCUAGCUCCAGCUGAUGGGCUUUUCCGACCAGUGCAUGAACUCGGCGGUGCUAGAGGCGACUGCGUUUACUUCUUGGUGCUGCCGGCGUCGGCUGCGCUUGUCGUCGACUUGACUUGUGAAGACGACGUAGGCGUCGUGCGCUUCGGGGAACUCGUCUUGGAUGGCGCCGACUGCCGGCCGGGCCGCCGGCUGCUGGGGAGCUGGAGGCGGCGGGCCGGGGGGCGGAGGCGGCACCAUCCCUUCGCCCUUGGUGAUGCGGGUGAGCCAGUGGCAUUUCCGUGUCGUAUGAUUGGACGGCUUCGCGCCGCUGUGGAAUUUGCAGGGAGCAUUGAGUGCUUGUUCGUAGGAGAAAGACGGCUGCCAGGGCGGCCGGCCACCCUUCUUCUUGGGAGCGGGCCGCUCUUCGGGCUGCUCGUCUUCAACUGUGGCCACCGGCCGACUGGAGGAAGUCGGCAUGGGGCCCUUGCGCUUGUGGUCGUUCUUGUAGGGGCGCCGGUUAGGGUCGCCAGCCGGCGUCUUGGGAGCCGGAGCAACUACCUUCCCCGAGGCGUCCACUCGUAGCUCGGUCUUCAUGGAGGAGUCGGCAGUGGCAUACUUGUCGGCGGUGAUCAGCAACUCAUCGAGGGUAGCCGGCUCGUCGCAGAGGAGUCGGUGCUUGAGGAGGGUGCCCUCUCGGCACCCGGCAGUGAAAUACUCAAUGGCCUGGACCUCGUGCACUCCCUCGCAGGAGUUGCGGAGCUCGGCCCAUCGCGUGAGGUAGUCGCGGGUCGACUCGUUGGGCCCCUGGACGCAGAGGGAGAGCUGGCGAGGCUUGGGAGGCCGCUUGUAGGUGCUGGUGAAGUUGCGGACGAAAACUUCGGUGAAGUCCAGCCAGCUGUUGAUGCUGUAGGGCUUGAGGCUGUUGAGCCAUGUGCGCGCCGUGCCUUGCAGCAUCAAGGGGACGUACUUCACGGCGACGCGCCGAUUGCCGUUGGCGAUGCUGACGGCUGUGGAGUAGUCGAUGAGCCAAUCUUCCGGCUUCACCGAGCCGUUGUACUUGGGUGUGUCUCUGGGGAGCGAGAACCCUUUGGGGAAGGGCUCGUCGCGGAUGCGGGGGCCAAAGCAUGGCGGGCCGACAUCGUCUUCUUCUUCUAGCGCCAAGGAUCGAGCCAGGCGGUCGAUCCUGUGGCGGGCGUCGUUUUCGCCGACUCCUUCUCGGCGGCCGAGUCGGUCGCCAAGAGUCGGAUGGGUGACAGGCGGUGGAGUGAGGCGUCUUUCUCUUCGAGGCGGGGGAGGAGGCAGGUUUCCCUGGUGCUCUACAGCUCGAGGGCGGCCAUCCGCGUCGCGCUCGAUGGUAAUGCGAGUCCGGCUGCGGCUGGCAGCCGGCUCCUUGUCUUUCUUCUGGCACGCGCCACUCGCAGUCGGCGAGCGGGACGUCGCGGCGUGCUCCCGGCGCGGGGGAUGGCUAUCAGCUCGGGCGCCGGCUUCAUGCCGUUCUGCAGCCGCGUCGAUCAGCUGCUGGAUCCGUCUUGUCAUGUAAGGGAGCUCAUCGGCUCCCAGCCCAUUGAGCUCCUCUGCUGCCGCCUGAGCAGCUCGCAGAGCGGGGUGGCGUAGAUGGGGCGAUCUGCGCCCAGCAUGCUGGCAACGGCUGCGCCGCGCUUCUGGACGAAGCCGGCUCGGCUCGGGCCGCUAGGCGGCGGCGUCCUGAAGGCGGCGCGGUCGACUUCGCGCUGGUGGGCCUCGGUGAGGCGCCUCAUCGAGGCUAUCGUCUUGCCCUCCGCGAUGAGGGCAAGGCGGCGUGCCUCCAGGGUCUCGGCGUCGGCGUCGACCGGGAUGGGGACGGAGAGGUCGUGCAUCGCCGCUUGCUGAGCGUCGCGGGCGUUCUCGCCCGAGUUGGAGACGUGGCUGAUGACCAGCACUUCGGUGACAGCGCUACUGCCGCUGUCAGCUCGAGGGAGGGGGUCGUCGAAGACCACCACGUCAGAGGGGUAGGCGUCGAGCGACGCGGUGUCGGAGUCGAUGAGCAUCGGGUCGGUGGAGCCGACCGACUCCAUGUCCGCAGCGGGCUCGCUGGAGACGUGAAGUUGGUCGAGGAGGCUGACGAGGCGGCUCUCGGGGUAGUCGGUGCCUGCGUCGGAUGCAGGCUCGUCGGAGAUGCGAGUCUCGCCGAGCAGAUCGGCGAGGCGGCUCGCUGCGCAGGCGUCGUCGACGCCUUGCAGCGCGUCGAGGCAAACGCCAUCGGGCGCAGCAGGCUGGCUGCGCUCGCGGGGGAGGAAGAGGGUUCCCGUCCAGAACAGGUCUCCGGACGACGGUGCACCUAGCCCCACGGUGGGCGCCAAAUGUCGGGUGGUUGGUGCGACAUAUGCCAAGGGAUGGCUUAUCAUUGUGGGAGCCAAUAAAACGUCGCCGGUGCCCGGAAGCGGGAUAAGGCGAAGACAUGCACGCCGGCGAAUCUUACCCAGGUUCGGGGCUCUCCGAGGAGAUAACACCCCUAGUCCUGCUCUGCGGGGUCUCCGCAUGAUCACUAGAUCGAUAAAGGGUAGCUACAAUUGCUCCUAGAGCUGUUGAGAUCAAGGGAGAAGAAGAACAAGGCUAGCUCUUGCUUCUCUCUAUCUAUGGUGUGUGUGCUAUGCAUGGGUGUUAACCUAGAAGCCAACCCUUUGCAUGGGUGCUCCGGGGGGUUUAUAUAGGCCUACCCCCCGGGGGUACAAUGGUAAUCCGGCUGGGAACUGGUCCCAGCCGUCAGUGUCUACGCUCACCGGCUUCUCCGCCGGCUGCUGGGUCACACCGGCUGGUGGGUCCCGUCGGCUGCCGGCUACUUGGUCAACAGGCCGGCCCCACCGCCUAGGGUCUUGUCGGCGGCUGCUUACUGUAGCCGCGCCUCUGAUGAUGAGGGCUUUGUCGAGGUAAGCGUGGCUACAGUGAUCCGCCUCGGAGGCUAUCACUGUAGCCUCACCUCGUCUUGUCUCCUUAAUGGGGCUCCUGCUUCGAGGAAGGGAGUAGCCGGCUUCUGGAGGCCGGCUAUACUCUUGGCCGACUAGGAAAAGCCGGGCCCCCUUCGCACCUCUCUCUGGCUGAAGGGGCCCGCAGUCCUCAGGCCGUACAGGAGUGGGUCGUGGAUGACGUCGAGGCCAGCGUGGCUACAGUGCCGAGCCGCACGGGAGACGUCCCUCCCGUACGGCCUCCUGUAGCCAUGCCCGCCUCGGGCUUCAGGGGUCGUGGGCCGCACUGUGGCCACACCCCGUCACGUCGCCGUUAUGUAGGAGUGGUUGUGGUCUUGGCCGGCUCCUAGGAGUCGGCGUCCUUCUUGGCCGGCUUCUUGGAGUCGGUGAGGCUGGGUCGCCUUCCGGGGGUCGGCUUUAGUGAUAGCCGGCCGGGGAAGGCGGCCCAAAUGCUUGGAGUGCUUGAAGGCCCAAAGGCCUGAUAAAUUUUCCGAAGAGCCAGGGAUAGUCGGUUAGGCUACCCGUGGCCAUUUACUCCGACACUUGCUCUGUUGGUGUGGGGCGAGCUGCCCCGGCAAGGGUCUUGCCGAGGCUACUGAGGCUGCCCCGGCAAGGGCCUUGCCGGGGUUACCUGCUUCGUCCCUCUGCUCUUUAUGGUCUUGGCCUUGGCGUUGCUCUGCCUGUCUUGGGCUUUGGUUUUACCUUGGUUCACCUCCCCUGCUCUGUUUGGUGUGACCGUGGGCACGGCUCUGACUGCCCGUGCACAGGUAAAGGGGUACAAAGGUGUGCCCCUUCUUUUGUACACCGACACUCGUAGACCGAAAGUGGAAGCAUUAUGACAACGCGGUUGAUGUAGUCGUACGUCUUCAUGAUCCGACCGAUCCUAGCACCGAAGGUACGGCACCUCCGUGAUCUGCACAUGUUCCGCUCGGUGACGUCCCACGAACUCUAGAUCCAGCUGAGGUCAAGGGAGAGUUUCGUCAGCAUGAUGGCGUGGUGACGGUGAUGAUGAAGCUACCGUCGCAGGGCUUCGCCUAAGCACCGCAACGAUAUGACCGAGGUGGAAAUCUGUGGAGGGGGGCACCGCACACGGCUAAACAAUCAACUUGUGUCUAUGGGGUGCCCCCUCCCCCGUAUAUAAAGGAGUGGAGGAGGUGGAGGGCCGGCCCUCUCAUGGUGCGUCCAAGGGGGGAGUCCUACUCUCGGUGGGAGUAGGAUUCCCCCUUUCCCUAGUUGGAGUAGGAGAAGGGGGGAGGAGGAGAGAGGGAGAAGGAAAGGGGGGCGCCGCCCCCCUUCCCUAGUCCAAUUCAGACCCAAGGGGGAGGGGGCGCGCGGCCUGCCCUGGCCGCCCCUCUCUCUCUCCACUAUGGCCCAACAAGGCCCAAUAACUCCCCGGGGGUUCCGGUAACCCCCCGAUACUCCGGUAAAUGCCCGAACUCACCUGGAACCAUUCCGAUGUCCAAACAUAGCCUUCCAAUAUAUCAAUCUUUAUGUCUCGACCAUUUCGAGACUCCUCGUCAUGUCCGUGAUCACAUCCGGGACUCCGAACAACCUUCGGUACAUCAAAACACAUAAACUCAUAAUACCAAUCGUCAUCGAACGUUAAGCGUGCGGACCCUACGAGUUCGAGAACUAUGUAGACAUGACCGAGACUCAUCUCCGGUCAAUAACCAAUAGCGGAACCUAGAUUCUCAUAUUGGUUCCUACAUAUUCUACGAAGAUCUUUAUCGGUCAAACCGCAUAACAACAGACGUUGUUCCCUUUGUCAUCGGUAUGUUACUUGCCCGAGAUUCGAUCGUCGGUAUCUCAAUACCUAGUUCAAUCUCGUUACCGGCAAGUCUCUUUACUCGUUCCGUAAUGCAUCAUCCCGUAACUAACUCAUUAGUCACAUUGCUUGCAAGGGUUAUAGUGAUGUGCAUUACCGAGAGGGCCCAGAGAUACCUCUCUGACAAUCGGAGUGACAAAUCCUAAUCUCGAUCUAUGCCAACUCAACAAACACCAUCGAAGACACCUGUAGAGCAUCUUUAUAAUCACCCAGUUACGUUGUGACGUUUGAUAGCACACUAAGUGUUCUCCGCUAUUCGGGAGUUGCAUAAUCUCAUAGUCAUAGGAACAUGUUUAAGUUAUGAAGAAAGCAAUAGCAACAAACUAAACGAUCAUCGUGCUAAGCUAACGGAUGGGUCAAGUCAAUCACAUCAUUCUCUAAUGAUGUGAUCCCGUUCAUCAAAUGACAACUCUUGUCCAUGGCUAGGAAACUUAACCAUCGUUGAUUAACGAGCUAGUCAAGUAGAGGCAUACUAGUGACACUCUGUUUGUCUAUGUAUUCACACAUGUACUAAGUUUCCGGUUAGUACAAUUCUAGCAUUAAUAAUAAACAUUUAUCAUGAUAUAAGGAAAUAUAAAUAACAACUUUAUUAUUGCCUCUAGGGCAUAUUUCUUCACGCCCCACCUCUUGGCCGCCUCCUCUCUCUUCCACUAAAGCCCAUGUAGGCCCAUUAAACCCCCGGGGGGUUCCGGUAACCCCCCGGUACUCCGGUAAAUGCCCGAACUCGUCUGAAACCAUUCCGGUGUCCAAAGAUAACCUUCCAAUAUAUCAAUCUUCAUGUCUCGACCAUUUCGAGACUCCUCGUCAUGUCCGUGAUCGCAUCCGGGACUCUGAACUACCUUCGGUACAUCAAAAACACAUAAACUCAUAAUACCGAUCGUCAUCGAACGUUAAGCGUGCGGACCCUAUGGGUUCGAGAACUAUGUAGACAUGACCGAGACUCAUCGCCGGUAAAUAACCAAUAGCGGAACCUAGAUGCUCAUAUUGGUUCCUACAUAUUCUAUGAAGAUCUUUAUCGGCAAACCGCAUAACAACAUACGUUGUUCCCCUUGUCAUCGGUAUGUUACUUGCCCGAGAUUCGAUCGUCGGUAUCAUCAUACCUAGUUCAAUCUCCUUACCAGCAAGUCUCUUUACUCGUUCCAUAAUGCAUCAUCCCGUAACUAACUCAUUAGUCACAUUGCUUGCAAGGCUUAUAGUGAUGUGCAUUACCGAGAGGGCCCAGAGAUACCUCUCCGACAAUCGGAGUGACAAAUCCCAAUCUUGAUCUAUGCCAACUCAACAAACACCAUCGGAGACACCUGUAGAGCAUCUUUAUAAUCACCCAGUUACGUUGUGACGUUUGAUAGCACACUAAGUGUUCCUCCGGUAUUCGGGAGUUGCAUAAUCUCAUAGUCAUAGGAACAUGUAUAAGUUAUGAAGAAAGCAAUAGCAAUAAACUAAACGAUCAUAGUGCUAAGCUAACGGAUGGGUCAAGUCAAUCACAUCAUUCUCUAAUGAUGUGAUCUUGUUCAUCAAAUGACAACUCAUGUCUAUGGUUAGGAGACUUAACCAUCUUUGAUUAAGGAGGUAGUCAAGUAGAGGCAUACUAGUGACACUCUGUUUGUCUAUGUAUUCACACAUGUACUAAGUUUUCGGUUAAUAGAAUUCUAGCAUGAAUAAUAAACAUUUAUCAUGAUAUAAGGAAAUAUAAAUAACAACUUUAUUAUUGCCUCUAGGGCAUAUUUCCUUCAUGAUCACCAUCAUCACCGGCUUGACACCUUGAUCUCCAUCGUAGCAUCAUUGUCGUCUUGCCAACUAUUGCUUCUACGACUAUCGCUACCGCUUAGUGAUAAAGCAAAGCAAUUACAUGGCGAUUGCAUUUCAUACAAUAAAGCGACAACCAUAUGGCUCCUGCCAGUUGCCGAUAACUGUUACAAAACAUGACCAUCUCAUACAACAAUUUAUAUAUCAUCACGUCUUGACCAUAUCACAUCACAACAUGCCCUGCAAAAACAAGUUAGACAUCCUCUACUUUGUUGUUGCAAGUUUUACGUGGCUGCUACGGCCUUCUAGCAAGAACCAUUCUUACCUAAGCAUCAAAACCACAACGAUUUUUUUCGUCAAGUGUGAUGUUUUAACCUUCAACAAGGACCGGGCGUAGUCAAACUCGAUUCAACUAAAGUUGGAGAAACAGACACCCGCUAGCCACCUGUGUGCGAAGCACGUCGGUAGAACCUGUCUCAUGAACGUGGUCAUGUAAUGUCGGUCUGGGCCGCUUCAUCCAACAAUACUGUCGAAUCAAAGUAAGACGUUGGUGGUAAGCAGUAUGACUAUUAUUGCCCACAACUCAUUGUGUUCUACUCGUGCAUAUAACAUCUACGCAUAGACCUGGCUCGGAUGCCACUGUUAGGGAACGCAGUAUUUCAAAAUUUUACCUACGAUCAUGCAAGAUCUAUCUAGGAGAUGCAUAGCAACGAGCGGGGAAAGUGUGUCCAUGUGCCCUCGUAGACCGAAAUGUAAGCGUUUAGUAAUGCGGUUGAUGUAGUCGAACGUCUUCGCGAUCCAACUGAUCCAAGCACCGAAUGUACGGCACCUCCGUGUUCAACACAUGUUCAGCUCGAUGACGUCCCUCGAAAUCUUGAUCCAGUUGAGGCCGAGGGAGAGUCCCGUCAGCACGACGGUGUGGCGACGGUGAUGAUGAAGUUACCGGCGCAGGGCUUCACCUAAGCACUACGACGAUAUGACCGAGGUGUGUAACUGUGGAGGGGGCACCGCACACGGCUAAGAGAAGACUUGGUGUGUCUUGGGGGUGCCCCCUCCCACGUAUAUAAAGGGGGGAGGAGAGGUGGCCGGCCCAACAGGCGCUCCAGGUGUGGGGAGUCCUACUAGGACUCCCUAGUCCAAGUAGGAUUCCCCUCUCCUUUUUCCUUUUCCGGGAUAGUAAAGAGGGAAAGAGAGGAGGAGUAGGAGAGGGAAAGGGGGCGCCGCACCCACCCCUUAUCCAAUUCGGAUUGGCAAGGGGGGCGCGCGCCACCUCCCUGGCCGGCCCUCUCUCCUCCACUAAGGACCAUGUGUGGCCCAUUAACUUCCCGGGGGGUUCUGAUAACCCCCGGUACUCCGAAACUUAUUCGAUACUUCCCGAAACCAUUCUGGUGUCCGAAUAUAACGUUCCAAUAUAUGAAUCUUCACCUCUCGACAAUUUCGAGACUCCUCGUCAUGUCCGUGAUCUCAUCUGGGACUCCGAAGAAACUUCGGUCAUCAAAUCACAUAACUCAUAAUACAAAUCGUCAUCGAACGUUAAGCGUGCGAACCCUACGGGUUCGAGAACUAUGUAGGCAUGACCGAGACACAUCUCUGGUCAAUAACCAACAGCGAAACCUGGAUGCUCAUAUUGGCUCCUACAUAUUCUACAAAGAUCUUUAUUGGUCAAACUGCAUAACAACAUACGUUGUUCCCUUUGUCAUCGGUAUGUUACUUGCCCGAGAUUCGAUCGUCGGUAUCAUCAUACCUAGUUCAAUCUCGUCACCGGCAAGUCACUUUACUUGUUCCGUAAUGCAUCAUCCCGUAACUAACUCAUUAGUCACAUUGCUUGCAAGGUUCAUAGUGAUGUGCAUUACCGAGAGGGCCCAGAGAUACCUCUCCGUUACAUGGAGUGACAAAUCCUAACCUCGAUCUAUGCCAAACCAACAAACACCAUCGGAGACACCUGUAGAGCAUCUUUAUAAUGACCCAGUUACGUUGUGACAUUUGAUAGCACACAAGGUGUUCCUCCGGUAUUCGGGAGUUGCGUAAUCUCAUAGUCUGAGGAACAUGUAUAAGUCAUGAAGAAAGCAAUAGCAGAAAAACUAAAUGAUCAUAUGCUAAGCUAACAGAUGGGUCUUGUCCAUCACAUCAUUCUCUAAUGAUGUGAUCCCGUUCAUCAAAUGACAACACAUGUCUAUGGAUAGGAAACUUAACCAUCUUUGAUUAACGAGCUAGUCAAGUAGAGGCAUACUAGGGACACUCUGUUUGUCUAUGUAUUCACACAUGUACUAAGUUUCCAGUUAAUACAAUUCUAGCAUGAAUAAUAAACAUUUAUCAUGAUAUAAGGAAAUAUAAACAACAAAUUUAUUAUUGCCUCUAGGGCAUAUUUCCUUCAAAUACUUGCACUCAACACAAACAAGGGGGUUGUCAAUCCCCUCGGCGGUUAAAUGAAGACCAAACUCGUAACUCAAAUAUUUGCCUCCGCAAUCAGAUCGUAGAAACUUUAUUUUCUUGUUACGAUGAUUUUCCACUUCACUCUAAAAUUGUUUGAACUUUUCAAAUGUUUCAGACUUGUGUUUCAUUAAGUAGAUAUACCCAUAUCUGCUCAAAUCAUCUGUGAAGGUCAGAAAAUAACGAUACCCGCCGCGAGCCUCAACACUCAUCGGACCGCAUACAUCAGUAUGUAUUAUUUCCAAUAAGUUAGUUGCUCGCUCCAUUGUUCCGGAUAAUGGAGUCUUAGUCAUCUUGCCCAUGAGGCAUGGUUCACAAGCAUCAAGUGAUUCCAAAAGCCCAUCUGCAUGGAGUUUCUUCAUGCGUUUUAUACCAAUAUGACCUAAACGGCAGUGCCACAAAUAUGUUGCACUAUCAUUAUCAACUUUGCAUCUUUUGGCAUCAAUAUUAUGAAUAUGCGUAUCACCACGACCGAGAUUCAACAAAAAUAGACCACUCAUCAAGGGUGCAUGACCAUAAAAGAUAUUACUCAUAUAAAUAGAACAACCAUUAUUCUCUGAUUUAAAUGAAUAACCGUCUCGCAUCGAACAAGAUCCAGAUAUAAUGUUCAUGCUCAACGCUGGCACCAAAUAACAAUUAUUCACGUCUAAAACUAAUCCCAAAGGUAGAUGUAGAGGUAGCGUGCCGACAGUGAUCACAUCGACCAUGGAACCAUUUCCGACGUGCAUCGUCACCUCGUCCUUAGCCAAUCUUCGUUUAAUCUGUAGCCCCUGCUUCGAGUUGCAAAUAUGAGCAACAGAACUAGUAUCAAAUACCCAGGCGCUAGUACGAGCAUUAGUAAGGUACACAUCAAUAACAUGUAUAUCAAAUAUACCUUUCACUUUGCCAUCCUUCUUAUCCGCCAAAUACUUGGGGCAGUUCCGCUUCCAGUGACCAGUCCCUUUGCAGUAGAAGCACUCAGUUCCAGGCUUAGGUCAAGACUUGGGCUUCUUCCCAGGAGUGGCAACUUGCUUGCCAUUCUUCUUAAAGUUCCCCUUCUUUCCUUUGCCUUUUUUCUUGAAACUAGUGGUCUUGUUAACCAUCAACACUUGAUGCUCCUUCUUGAUUUCUACCUCCGCAGCUUUGAGCAUUGCGAAGAGCUCGGGAAUAGUCUUCUCCACCCCUUGAAUAUUAUAGUUCAUCAUGAAGCCUUUAUAGCUUGGUGGUAGUGAUUGAAGAACUCUGUCAAUAACACUAUCAUCUAGAAGAUUAACUCCCAGCUGAGUCAAGUGGUUAUGAUACCCAGACAUUCUGAGUAUGUGUUCACUGACAGAACUAUUCUCCUCCAUCUUGCAGCCAUAGAACUUGUUGGAGACUUCAUAUCUCUCAACUCGGGCAUUUGCUUGAAAUAUUAACUUCAACUCCUGGAACAUCUCAUAUGCUCCAUGAUGUUCAAAACGUCUUUGAAGUCCUGAUUCUAAGCCGUAAAGCAUGGCACACUAAACUAUCGAGUAGUCAUCAGAUCGAGCUUGCCAGACGUUCAUAGCAUCAGCAUCUGCUCCUACAGCAGGCCUUUCACCUAGUGGUGCAUCAAGGACAUAAUUCUUCUAUGCAGCAAUGAGGAUAAUCCUCAAGUUACGGACCCAGUCCGUGUAGUUGCUACCAUCAUCGUUCAACUUAGCUUUCUCUAGGAACACAUUAAAAUUCAAGGGAAUAUUAGCACGGGCCAUUGAUCUACAACAACAUAGAUAUGCAGAAACUAUCAGGACUAAGUUCAUGAUAAAUUUAAGUCCAAUUAAUCAUAUUACUAAAGAACUCCCACUUAGAUAGACAUCCCUCGAGUCAUCUAAAUGAUCACGUGAUCCAUAUCAACUAAACCAUGUCCGAUCAACACGUGAGAUGGAGUAGUUUUCAAUGGUGAACAUCUCUAUGUUGAUCAUAUCUACUAUAUGAUUCACGUUCGACCUUUCGGUCUCAGUGUUCCAAGGCCAUGUUUGUACAUGCUAGGCUCGUCAAGUUUAACAUGGGUAUUCCGCACGUGCAAAACUGUCUUGCACCCGUUGUAUGUGAAUGUAGAGCUUAUCACACCCGAUCAUCACAUGGUGUCUUGGCACGAUGAACUGUCGCGACGGUGCAUACUUGAUAACCCACAGGUAUAGGGGAUCGCAACAGUUUUCGAGGGUAGAGUAUUCAACCCAAAUUUAUUGAUUCGACACAAGGGGAGCCAAAGAAUAUUCUCAAGUAUUAGCAAUUGAAUUGUCAAUUCAACCACACCUGGAUAACUUAGUAUCUGCAACAAAGUAUUUAGUAGCAAAGUAAUAUGAUAGUAGUGGUAACGGUAACAAAAGUAACGGUAGCAAAAGUAAUAUUUUUGGUGUUUUGUAGUGAUUGUAACAGUAGCAACGGAAAAGUAAAUAAGCGAAGAACAAUAUGUGAAAAGCUCGUAGGCAUUGGAUCGGUGAUGGAGAAUUAUGCCGGAUGCGGUUCAUCAUGUAACAAUCAUAACAUAGGGUGACAUAGAACUAGCUCCAAUUCAUCAAUGUAAUGUAGGCAUGUAUUCCGAAUAUAGUCGUACGUGCUUAUGGAAAAGAACUUGCAUGACAUCUUUUGUACUACCCUCCCGUGGCAGCGGGGUCCUAAUGGAAACUAAGGGAUAUUAAGGCCUCCUUUUAAUAGAGUACCAGAACAAAGCAUUAGCACAUAGUGAAUACAUGAACUCCUCAAACUAUGAUCAUCACCGGGAGUGGUCCCGAUUAUUGUCACUUCGGGGUUGCCGGAUCAUAACACAUAGUAGGUGACUAUAGACUUGCAAGAUAGGAUCAAGAACUCACAUAUAUUCAUGAAAACAUAAUAGGUUCAGAUCUGAAAUCAUGGCACUCGGGCCCUAGUGACAAGCAUUAAGCAUAGGAAAGUCAUAGCAACAUCAAUCUCAGAACAUAGUGGAUACUAGGGAUCAAACCCUAACAAAACUAACUCGAUUACAUGAUAGAUCUCAUCCAACCCAUCACCGUCCAGCAAGCCUACGAUGGAAUUACUCACGCACGGCGGUGAGCAUCAUGAAAUUGGUGAUGGAGGAUGGUUGAUGAUGACGAUGGCGACGAAUCCCCCUCUCCGGAGCCCCGAACGGACUCCAGAUCAGCCCUCCCGAGAGGUUUUAGGGCUUGGCGGCGGCUCCGUAUCGUAAAACGCGAUGAAUUCUUCUCUCUGAUUUUUUUCUCCCCGAAAGCAAAUAUAUAGAGUUGGAGUUGAGGUCGGAGGGGCUCCAGGGGGCCCACGAGGUAGGGGGGCACGCCCUAGGGGGGAGGGCGCGCCCUCCACCCUCGUGGCCAGGGUGUGGGCCCCCUGGUCUUCAUCUUUUGCAAGGAUUUUAUAUUAUUUCCAAAUAGACGUUCCGUGGAGUUUCAGGUCAUUCCGAGAGCUUUUGUUUCUGCACAUAAAUAACACCAUGGAAAGUCUGCUGAAAACAGCGUCAGUCCGGGUUAGUUCCAUUCAAAUCAUGCAAGUUAGAGUCCAAAACAAGGGCAAAAGUGUUUGGAAAAGUAGAUACGACGGAGACGUAUCAACUCCCCCAAGCUUAAACCUUUGCUUGUCCUCAAGCAAUUCAGUUGACAAACUGAAAGUGAUAAAGAAAAACUUUUACAAACUCUGUUUGCUCUUGUUGUUGUAAAUAUGUAAAGCCAGCAUUCAAGGUUUCAGCAAAGAUUAUGACUAACCACAUUUGCAAUAACUCUCAGGUCUCAUGUUUACUCGUAUCAAUGGCAUAAUCAACUAGCGAGCCAUAAUAAUAAAUCUCGGAUGACAACACUUUCUCAAAACAAUCAUAAUAUGACAUAACAAGAUGGUAUCUCGCUAGCCCUUUCUGAGACCGCAAAACAUAAAUGCAGAGCACCUUUAAAGAUUAAGGACUGACUAGACAUUGUAAUUCAUGGUAAAAGAGAUCCAGUCAUAGUCAUACCCAAUAUAAAUUAACAGUAAUGGAUGCAAAUGACAGCUGCGCUCUCCAGCUAGUGCUUUUUAAUAAGAGGGUGAUGACUCAACAUAAAAGUAAAUAGAUAGGCCCUUCGCAGAGGGAAGCAGAGAUUUGUAGAGGUGCCAGAGCUCGAUUUUGAAAUAGAGAUAAAUAAUAUUUUGAGCGGCAUACUUUCAUUGUCAACAUAACAACCAAGAGAUGGCGAUAUCUUCCAUGCUACACACAUUAUAGGCGGUUCCCAAACAGAAUGGUAAAGUUUAUACUCCCCCUCCACCAACAAGCAUCAAUCCAUGACUUGCUCGAAACAACGAGUGUCUCCAACUAGCAACAGCCCCAGGGGGAGUUUUGUUUGCAAUUAUUUUGAUUUAGUUUGCAUAAAGCAUGGGACUGGGCAUCCCGGUGACCAGCCAUUUUCUCGUGAGUGAGGAGCGGAGUCCACUCCUCUUGAGAAUAACCCGCCUAACAUGGAAGAUAAGGGCAGCCCUAGUUGAUACAUGAGCUAUUCGAGCAUACAGAACAGAAUGUUUAUUUGAAGGUUUAGAGUUUGGCACAUACAAAUUUACUUGGAACGGCAGGUAGAUACCGCAUAUAGGAAGGUAUAGUGGACUCAUAUGGAAUAACUUUGGGGUUUAAGGGAUUGGAUGCACAAGCAGUAUUCCCGCUUAGUACAAGUGAAGGCUAGCAAAAGACUGGGAAGCGACCAACUAGAGAGCGACAACAGUCAUGAACAUGCAUUAAAAUUAAUAAACAUUGGGUGCAAGCAUGAGUAGGAUAUAAUCCACCAUGAACAUAAAUAUCGUGAAGGCUAUGUUGAUUUUGUUUCAACUACAUGUGUGAACAUGUGCCAAGUCAAGUCACUUAAAUCAUUCAAAGGAGGAUACCACCCCCACUAUACCACAUCACAACCAUUUUAAUAGCAUGUUGGCACGCAAGGUAAACCAUUAUAACUCAUAGAUAAUCAAGCAUGGCACGAGCAACUAUGAUCUCUAAUUGUCAUUGCAAACAUGUUUAUUCAUAAUAAGCUGAAUGAGGAACGAUGAACUCAUCAUAUUUACAAAAACAAGAGAGGUCGAGUUCAUACCAGCUUUUCUCAUCUCAGUCAGUCCAUCAUAUAUCGUCAUAAUUACCUUUCGCUUGCACGACCGAACGAUGUGAAUAAUAAUAUGAGUGCACGUGCAUUGGACUAAGCUGGAAUCUGCGAGCAUUCAAUAAACAGAAGAAGACAAGGCAAUAUGGGCUCUUGGUUAAAUCAACAAUAAUGCAUAUAAGAGCCACUUCAACAAUUUAAUCAUGGUCUUCUCCUAUCGACCCCCGAAGAAAAGAAAAGAAAAAAAAGUUCUUUACACGGGAAAGCUCCCAACAAGCAAAAGAACAACGGGAAAUCUUUUUGGGUUUUCUUUUUAAUUAUUACUACUACAGCAAGAAAAGUAAACUAAUUAAAAGCUACACUAAUCUUUUUUGGUUUUUCUUAAGGUUUAUCAAACACACAAGAAGAAAGCAAGAAAAAGAAAAUAAACUAGCAUGGAUAUUACAGUGAAAGAGUAUGAGCACCGACAUCUAGCAAUGAGUGUGUGAACAUAAAUGUAAUGUCGGUGGGAAAUACGUACUCCCCCAAGCUUAGGCUUUUGGCCUAAGUUGGUUCAUUGCCACGGAUGGCCUGGUGGAUAUCCAUAGUUGUAGCUGGGGUCGUACUGAGAUGCAGCGGUUAUCGCCUCCUGAGCUGCAGCGUGGCGGCGAGCUGCCUCCGCCCUCCUCUCGUACUCAUCUGCCUCCUCUCUGGUAAUAAAAUGUCUUCCUUUUGCCUGAUAAUCAAAGAAGGCAGGAGCAGGGAGAGUAAUACGGACAGCAUGACGUCUGUCAAAGAUUAAGCGAUAUCGGAGAGGUGAUUCAUUCCUCUCGACAAACUGGUGGUAGACCAUAGAAUUAUAGUCUAAAUAAGUAGGAGGCAACUCAAUAUCAUCCUCACGAACGUCCACACCAAGAAAAUCAGCUAAGCGGGUUGCAUAAAUUCCUCCAAAGAAAUCUCCAUUAAAUCUAUUAUUAUGCAACCUACGCGUAACAAUGGCUCCCAGAUUAUAAGAUUUGUCUCCUAACACAGAACUCCUAAGAAUACUAAGGUCAGGGACACACAUAUGACAUGCUUCAUCUUUACCAUUUAUGCACCUACCUAUGAAGAGAGCAAAAUAAUGUAUAGCACGAAAAUGAAUGCUCCCUAUGGUAGCUUGUGCUAUAUCUCUAGAUUCCCCCACGGUUAUACCAGCAAGAAAGUUUCUAAAUUCAAAUUUACGGGGUUCACUAACACUACCCCAUUGUGGAAGUUUGCAAUCAGAAGUAAAAUCCUCUAAGUCCAUGGUAUAAGAUUUUUCAUAAAGAUCAAACAGGACAGUUGGAGAAUUACGUGAAGAUGAAAAUUCAAACUUCCUCACAAAUGAACUAGUGAGAUGAUGGUAUUGGCUGCACUUCUCUGCCUCAAAGCUCACAAGAUCAGCGUUACGCAAAUAUGCGUUAAAUUCUUCCUUGAUUCCCGCUCGAUCCAUAAAAUUUUCUGAAGGCCAUUCACAGGGCUGCACUGGAGCGUCCCUUGGUGGCUCCUCGUCAGCAUCAUGCAUUGCAAGCCUGGGUCCUUGCUUCCUUGAAGAACCACCUUGGAACAUUUUCCUAAGCAUAUUUCUUCCUCUGAAAAAUUUCUGAAAUUUUUAGUAACUUCAAACAAAAGUGAACCAAACUCAAUAAAAUUGAUAGCAACUACUCCUACAAGUGCCUAGAGACUAUAUCAUGCAUUAGAACUACUUGCAACCAUAUAAAUUUGACAUGCAAGCUCAAGAACAUGGUCACCUAGGCAGCACAAAUUUGCAAUGAAUAGAACACUAGAACAAAAACUAAUUGGACCAAUGGAGGAGUCACAUACCAAGGAACAAUCUCCCCAAGCAGUUUUGUGAGAGGUGCUUUGAGAAAGGAGAUCGAAAAUCAUAGCAAAAUGAGCUAGAACUCGUGCUUGAGAUGGAUAUUGGUGUUUGUGGGAGGAAGAAGGAGUGUAUGGGUGCAGGAAUAAGUGGAGGAGGGCCACCGUGGGCCCACGAGGCAGGGGGCGCGCCCUGGGGGUAGGGCGCGCCCUCCACCCUCGUGGCCAGGUGCUUGCCCCUCCUGCUGUGUUCUCAGUGCCAGAUAUUCUCAAAUAUUCCCGAAAAAAUCAUAUUCCAUUUUCAGGGCAUUUGGAGAACUUUUAUUUUUGGGGUAUUUUUGUAUUACACAGAUAAAUCAGAAAACAGACAGAAAAAAUACUAUUUUUACUUUAUUUCAACUAAAUAACAGAAAAUAGAAGGAGGGUACAGAAGGUUGUGCCUUCUAGUUUCAUCCAUCUCAUGCUCAUCAAAAGGAAUCCACUAACAAGGUUGAUCAAGUCUUGUUAACAAACUCAUUCCGAAUAACAUGAAACCGGAGAAAUUUCGAAUAACACUAUGUUACCUCAACGGGGAUAUGCAUAUCCCCAAUAAUAAUAAUAUCAUAUUUCUUCUUGACAGUAGGAAGAGAAAAUUCAAAACCUCCAAAUAUAAUCGAUGGAAUAUUUCCAAUAGAGUUGAUACUAUGAACUUGAGGUUGUUUCCUCGGAAAGUGUACCGUAUGCUCAUUGCCAUUAACAUGAAAAGUGACAUUGCCUUUGUUGCAAUCAAUAACAGCCCCUGCAGUAUUCAGAAAAGGUCUUCCAAGAAUAAUAGACAUGUUAUCGUCCUCGGGAAUAUCAAGGAUAACAAAGUCCGUUAAAAUAGUAACGUUUGCAACCACAACAGGCACGUCCUCACAAAUACCGACAGGUAUAGCAGUUGAUUUAUCAGCCAUUUGCAAAGAUAUUUCAGUAGGUGUCAACUUAUUCAAAUCAAGUCUACGAUAUAAAGAGAGAGGCAUAACACUAACACCGGCUCCAAGAUCACAUAAAGCAGUUCUAACAUAGUUUCUUUUAAUGGAGCAUGGUAUAGUUGGUACUCCUAGAUCUCCUGGUUUCUUUGGUAUUCCACCCUUAAAAGUAUAAUUAGCAAGCAUGGUGGAAAUCUCAGCUUCCGGUAUCUUUCUCUUAUUUGUACCAAUAUCCUUCAUAUACUUAGCAUAAGGAUUCAUUUUGAGCAUAUCAGUUAAUCGCAUACGCAAAAAGAUAGGUCUAAUCAUUUCAGCAAAGCGCUCAAAAUCCUCGUCAUCCUUUUUCUUGGAUGGUUUCGGAGGAAAAGGCAUGGGUUUCUAAACCCAUGGCCCUUUCUUUACCAUGUUUCCUAGCAACAAAGUCUCUCUUAUCAUACCGUUGAUUCUUUGAUUGAUCAACAGCAGGUUCAAUUUCUACAUCAUUGUCAUUACUAGGUUGAGCAUCAUCAUGAACAUCUUCAUUAACAUUUUCACUAGGUUCAUGUUCAUUACCAGAUUGUGUUUCAGCAUCAAAAAUAGAGAUAUCAUUUGGAUUCUCAGGUGGUUCAGCAAUACGUUCACUAGAAGCAUGCAAAGUCCUAUCAUUUUUCUUUUUCUUCUUUUUAGAAGGACUAGGUGCAUCUAUAUUAUUUCUCUGAGAAUCUUGUUCAAUUCUCUUAGGGUGGCCUUCAGGAUACAAAGGUUCCUGAGUCAUUCUACCAGUUCUAGUAGCCACUCUAACAGCAUAAUCAUUUUUCUUACUAUUCAUUUCAUUGAGCAAAUCAUUUUGAGCUUUAAGUACUUGUUCUACUUGAGUGGUAACCAUAGAAGCAUGUUUACUAAUGAGUUUAAGUUCACCUUUAACUCUAGACAUAUAAUCACCCAAGUGUUUAAGUGUAUAAGCAUUUUGUUUUAAUUGUCUACCAAAAUAAGCAUUGAAAUCUUCUUGCUUAACCAUAAAGUUAUCAAACUCAUCCAAGCAUUGGCUAGCAAUUUUAGUAGGAGGGAUUUCAGCUUUAUCAAAUCUAUAGAGAGAAUUUACCUUUACUACCUGUGUCGGGUUAUCAAGACCAUGAGGUUCUUCAGUAGGUAAUGGAUUAAGAUCAUAUGUUUCUUCAACAGGCGGUAAAUUAAGACCAUGUAUUUAUUCAAUAGGAGGUAAAUUCUUAACAUCUUCAGCUUUAAUACCUUUUUCUUUCAAAGAUUUCUUUGCCUCUUGCAUAUCUUCAGGACUGAGAAAUAGAACACCUCUUUUCUUCGGAGUUGGUUUAGGAAUAGGCUCAGGAGCUGGCUCAGGAAGUGUCCAAUUAUUUUCAUUUGUCAACAUAUUAUUCAAUAGAAUUUCAGCUUCAUCCGGUGUUCUUUCCCUGAAAACAGAACCAGCACAACUAUCCAGGAAAUCUCUGGAAGCAUCGGUUAGUCCAUUAUAAAAGAUAUCAAGUAUUUCAUUUUUCUUGAGAGGAUGAUCAGGCAAAGCAUUAAGUAACUUGAGAAGCCUCCCCCAAGCUUGUGGGAGACUCUCUUCUUCAAUUUGCACAAAGUUGUAUAUUUCCCUCAAAGCAGCUUGUUUCUUAUGAGCAGGGAAAUAUUUAGCAGAGAAGUAAUAAAUCAUAUCCCGGGGACUACGCACACAACCAGGAUCAAGGGAAUUAAACCAUAUCUUAGCAUCAUCCUUUAAUGAGAACGGAAAUAUUUUAAGGAUAUAAAAGUAGCGAGAUCUCUCAUCAUUAGUGAACAGGGUGGCUAUAUCAUUUAAUUUAGUAAGAUGUGCCACAACAGUUUUAGAUUCAUAGCCAUGAAAAGGAUCAGAUUCAACCAAAGUAAUUAUAUCAGGAUCAACAGAGAAUUAAUAAUCCUUAUCGGUAACACAGAUAGGUGAAGUUGCAAAAGCAGGGUCAGGUUUCAUUCUAGCAUUAAGAGAUUGUUGAUUCCAUUUAGCUAAUAACCUCUUGAGUUCAUAUCUAUCUUUGCAUGCUAAAAUAGCUGAAGAAGCUUCUUUAUCAAAAACAUAACCCUCAGGAAUAACAGGCAAGUCUUCAUCGUCACUUUCAUCAAUAUAAUCAGUUUCAAUAAUUUCUUUCUCUCUAGCCCUAGCAAUUUGUUCAUCAAGAAAUUCACUAAGGGGCACAGUUGUAUCAAGCAUAGAAGUAGUUUCAUCAUAAGUAUCAUGCAUAGCAGAAGUGGCAUCAUCAAUAACAUGCGACAUAUCAGAACGAAUAGCAGAAGCAGGUUUAGGUGUCGCAAGCUUACUCAAAACAGAAGGUGAAUCAAGUGCAGAGCUAGAUGGCAGUUCCUUACCUCCCCUCGUAGUUGAGGGAUAAAUUGUUGUCUUAGCGUCUUUCAAGUUCUUCAUAGUGACCAGCAGAUAUAAAUCCCAAGUGACUCAAAGAAUAGAGCUAUGCUCCCCGGCAACGGCGCCAGAAAAUAGUCUUGAUAACCCACAAGUAUAGGGGAUCGCAACAGUUUUCGAGGGUAGAGUAUUCAACCCAAAUUUAUUGAUUUGACACAAGGGGAGCCAAAGAAUAUUCUCAAGUAUUAGCAGUUGAGUUGUCAAUUCAACCACACCUGGAUAACUUAGUAUCUGCAGCAAAGUAUUUAGUAGCAAAGUAAUAUGAUAGUAGUGGUAACGGUAACAAAAGUAACUGUAGCAAACGUAAUAUUUUUGGUGUGUUGUAGUGAUUGUAACAGUAGCAACGGAAAAGUAAAUAAGCGAAGAACAAUAUGUGAAAAGCUCGUAGGCAUUGGAUCGGUGAUGGAGAAUUAUGCCGGAUGCGGUUCAUCAUGUAACAAUCAUAACAUAGGGUGACACAGAACUAGCUCCAAUUCAUCAAUGUAAUGUAGGCAUGUAUUCCGAAUAUAAUCAUACGUGCUUAUGGAAAAGAACUUGCAUGACAUCUUUUGUCCUACCCUCCCGUGGCAGCGGGGUCCUAAUGGAAACUAAGGGAUAUUAAGGCCUCCUUUUAAUAGAGUACCGGAACAAAGCAUUAGCACAUAGUGAAUACAUGAACUCCUCAAACUAUGAUCAUCACCGGGAGUGGUCCCGAUUAUUGUCACUUCGGGGUUGCCGGAUUAUAACACGUAGUAGGUGACUAUAGACUUGCAAGAUAGGAUCAAGAACUCACAUAUAUUCAUGAAAGCAUAAUAGGUUCAGAUCUGAAAUCAUGGCACUCGGGCCCUAGUGACAAGCAUUAAGCAUAGGAAAGUCAUAGCAACAUCAAUCUCAGAACAUAGUGGAUACUAGGGAUCAAACCCUAACAAAACUAACUCGAUUACAUGAUAGAUCUCAUCCAACCCAUCACCGUCCAGCAAGCCUACGAUGGAAUUACUCACGCACGGCAGUGAGCAUCAAUUGGUGAUGGAGGAUGGUUGAUGAUGACGAUGGCGAUGAAUCCCCCUCUCCGGAGCCCCGAACGGACUCCAGAUCAGCCCUCCCGAGAGGUUUUAGGGCUUGGCGGCGGCUCCAUAUCGUAAAACGCGAUGAAUUCUUCUCUCUGAUUUUUUCUCCCCGAAAGCAAAUAUAUAGAGUUGGAGUUGAGGUCGGAGGGGCUCCAAGGGGCCCACGAGGUAGGGGGCGCGCCCUCCACCCUCGUGGCCAGGGUGUGGCCCCCCUGGUCUUCAUCUUUUGCAAGGAUUUUUUAUUAUUUCCAAAUAGACGUUCCGUGGAGUUUCACGUCAUUCCGAGAACUUUUGUUUCUGCACAUAAAUAACACCAUGGAAAGUCUGCUAAAAAUAGCGUCAGUCCGGGUUAGUUCCAUUCAAAUCAUGCAAGUUAGAGUCCAAAACAAGGGCAAAAGUGUUUGGAAAAGUAGAUACGACAGAUACGUAUCAAUACUCAGGGAGAACACUUAUACCUUGAAAUUUAGUGAGGGAUCAUCUUAUAAUGCUACUGCCGUACUAAGCAAAAUAAGAUGCAUAAAAGAUAAACAUCACAUGCAAUCAAAAUAUGUGACAUGAUAUGGUCAUCGUCAUCUUGUGCCUUUGAUCUCCAUCUCCAAAGCACCGUCAUGAUCUCCAUCGUCACCGGCUUGACACCUUGAUCUCCAUCGUAGUGUCGUUGUCAUCUCGCCAACUAUUGCUUCUACAACUAUCGCUACCGCAUAGUGAUAAAGUAAAGCAAUUACAUGGCGAUUGCAUUUCAUACAAUAGCGACAACCAUAAGGCUCCUGCCAGUUGCCGAUAACUUUUACAAAACAUGAUCAUCUCAUACAAUAAUCAUCUCAUACAAUAACGUAUAUCACAUCAUGUCUUGACCAUAUCAUAUCACAACAUGCCCUGCAAAAACAAGUUAGACGUCCUCUACUUUGUUGUUGCAAGUUUUACGUGGCUGCUACGAGCUUCUAGUAAGAACCGUUCUUACCUACGCAUCAAAACCACACCGAUUUUUCGUCAAGUGUGCUAUUUUAACCUUCAACAAGGACCAGCCAUAGUCAAAUUUGAUUCAACUAAAGUUGGAGAAACAGACACCCGCCAGCCACCUUUAUGCAAAACAAGUUGCAUGUCUGUUGGUGGAACCGGUCUCAUAAACGUGGUCAUGUAAGGUUGGUCCGGGCCGCUUCAUCCAACAAUACCUCCAAAUCAAAAUAAGAUGUUGGUGGUAAGCAGUAUGACUAUGAUCGCCCACAGCUCUUUGUGUUCUACUCGUGCAUAUAAUCUACGCAUAGACCUGGCUUUGAUACCACUGUUGGGGAACGUAGCAUGCAAUUUCAAAAAUUUCCUACGACUACGCAAGAUCUAUCUACGAGAUGCAUAACAACGAGAGGGGGAGAGUGUGUCCACAUACCCUCAUAGACCGAAAGCGGAAGCGUUAGAUUAACACGGUUGAUGUAGUCGAACGUCUUCGUGAUCCAACCGAUCAAGCACCGAACGCACGGCACCUCCGAGUUCUGCACACGUUCAGCUCGAUGACGUCCCUCGAACUCUUGAUCCAGCAAAGUGUUGAGGGAGAGUUUCAUCAGCACAAUGGCGUGGUGAUGGCGAUGGUGAUGUGAUCCGCGCAGGGCUUCGCCUAAGCGCUACGUGAAUAUGACCGGAGGAGUAAACCGUGGAGGGAGACGCCGCACAGGGCUUGAAACAAUUGGUGUGUCUCUAAGGGGUGCCCUGCCCACGUAUAUAAAGGAGGGAGAGGGAGGAGGCCGGCCCUAGGGGGCGCGCCAAGUGGGGGGAGUCCUACUAGGACUCCCAGUCCUAGUAGGAUUCGGCCCCCCUCUUAUUCCUUCUCGUGGAGGGGGAAAGAGGGAAGAGAGAGGGAGGAGGAGAAGGAAAAGGGGGCGCCGGCCCCUCUCCUUGUCCAAUUCGGACUCCCAUAGGGGGGGGGGCACGGCCACCCCUUGUGGGCUGCCUCCUCUCUCCCCUAUGGCCCAUGAGGCCUAUUACUUUCCCCGGGGGGGGGGGGGUUCCGGUAAUCUCCCGGUACUCCGAAAAAUACCUGAAACGACCCGGAACCAUUCCAGUAUCUGAAUACUAUCAUCCAAUAUAUCAAUCUUUACCUCUUGACUAUUUCGAGACUCCUCGUCAUGUCCGUGAUCUCAUUUGGGACUCCGAGCAAUCUUUGGUCACCAAAACACAUAACUCAUAAAACAAAUCGUCAUCGAACGUUAAGCGUGCAGACCCUAUGGGUUCGAGAACUAUGUAGACAUGACCGAGACACAUCUCUGAUUAACCAACAGCGGAACCUGGAUGCUCAUAUUGGUUCCUACAUAUUCUACUAAGAUCUUUAUCGGUCAAACCGCAAUGACAACAUACGUUAUUCCCUUUGUCAUCGGUAUGUUACUUGCCCGAGAUUCGAUCGUUGGUAUCUACCUAGUUCAAUCUCGUUACUGGCAAGUCUCUUUACUCGUUUCGUAAUGCAUCAUCCCGUAACUAACUCAUUAGUCACAUUGCUUGUAAGGCUUAUCAUGAUGUGCAUUACCGAGAGGGCCCAGAGAUACCUCUCCGAUACUCGGAGUGAAAAAUGCUAAUCUUGAUGUAUGCCAACCCAACAAACACCUUCGGAGACACGUGUAGAGCAUCUUUAUAAUCACCCAGUUACGUUGUGAUGUUUGAUAGCACACAAGGUGUUCCUCUAGUAUUCGGGAGUUGCAUAAUCUCGUAGUCAAAGGAAUAUGCAUAAGUCGUGAAGAAAGCAAUAGCAAUAAAACUUAACGAUCAUUAUGCUAAGCUAAUGGAUGGGUCUUGUCCAUCACAUCAUUCUCCUAAUGAUGUGAUCCCGUUCAUCAAAUGACAACACAUGUCUAUGGUCAGGAAACUUAACCAUCUUUGAUUAACGAGCUAGUCAAGUAGAGGCAUACUAGGGACACUUUGUUUGUCUAUGUAUUCACACAUGUAUCAAGUUUCUGGUUAAUACAAUUCUAGCAUGAAUAAUAAACAUUUAUCAUGAUAUAAGGAAAUAUAAAUAACAACUUUAUUAUUGCCUCUAGGGCAUAUUUCCUUCACACGCAAAGUCUAUCUAGGAGAUGCAUAGCAACGAGAGGGGGAGAGUGUGUCUACGUACCCUCAUAGAUCGUAAGCAGAAGCGUUUGACAAUGUGGUUGAUGUAGUCGAACUUCUUCUAGCUCCGACCGAUCAAGUACCGAAUGCACGUCACCUCCGAGUUAUGCACACGUUCAGCUCGAUGACAUCCCUCGUCCUCUUGAUCCAGCAAGAUGUCGAGGAAGUAGAUGAGUUCCAUCAACACGACGGCGUGGUGACAGUGAUGGUGAAGUGAUCCGCACAGGGCUUCGCUUAAGCACUACGAGGAUAAGACCGUGGGAGUAAACGGUGGAGGCGAGCGCCGCACACGGCUAACAAUGUUUGAUGUGUUUUCUAGCGGUGCCCCCCUCAUAUAUAUAGGUUGGAGGGGAGGAGAGGCAGCCAAGGGGGCGCCCCAAGUAGGAGGAAUCCUACAUGGGCACCUCCCAAUUCGGCCUCCCCCCUUUCCUAUUCCUAUUCGGAGUAGGAAGGAAGAGGAGGAAAGGGGGAAUCCUAUUCCCCUUUUCCUUUCCUCCUUCCCCUUUCCUUCUCCAAAUUGGCCAGCCCAUAUGGGGGGUGCACCAGCCCCUUUGUGGCUGGUUUGUUUCCCCUCCUGGCCCAUAAGGCCAAUAUCUUUUGCCGAGGGUGCCCGGAACCCCUUCCGGUGACCCGAUAAGUACCCAGUGCUUCCCGGAACACUUCCGGUGUCCGAAUACCAUUGUCCUAUGUAUCAAUCUUUACCUCUCGACCAUUUCGAGGCUCCUCGUCAUGUCUGUGAUCUCAUCCGGGACUCCGAACAACAUUCGGUCACCAAAUCACAUAACUCAUAUAAUACAAAUCGUUAUCGAACGUUAAGCGUGCGGUCCCUACAGGUUCGAGAACUAUGUAGACAUGACCGAGACUCUGAUGCCUGCUAGAACUACGUCGAUAUUUCCCCAAAUAGGAAGGGAUGAUGCAGCGCAUCGACGGUAGGUAUUUCCCUCAGUGAUGAGAGCAAGGUUAUCGAACCAGUAGGAGAACCAAGCAACUCUACGUAAAACAGCACCUGCACACAAAUAACAAAUACUCGCAACCCGAUGUGUAAAAGGGGUUGUCAAUCCCUUUCGGGUAGCGGCGCCAGAGAUGGGCAAACAGACGUGAGAGAGUUGUAAAUAUUGAUAGAUCGAAUGCCAAAUAAAAUAAAUUGCAGUAAGGUAUUUUUGUAUUUUUUUGGUUUAAUAGAUUUGAAAAUAAAAAGCAAAUAAAAUAGAUCGCAAAGGCAAAUAAUAUGAGAAAGAGACCCGGGGCCCGUAGGUUUCACUAGUGGCUUCUCUCGAGAAAAUAGCAAACGGUGGGUGAACAAAUUACUGUUGGGCAAUUGAUAGAACUUAAAAUAAUCAUGAUGAUAUCCAGGCAAAGAUCAUUAUAUAGGCAUCAUGUCCAAGAUUACUAGACCGACUCCUGCCUGCAUCUACUACUAUUACUCCACACAUCGACAGCUAUCCAGCAUGCAUCUAGUGUAUUGAGUUCAUGGAAAAACGGAGUAAUGCAAUAAGAAUGAUGACAUGAUGUAGACAAGAUCUAUUUAUGUAGAAAUAGACCCCAUCGUUUUAUCCUUUAGCAAUGAUACAUACGUGUCGGUUCCCCUUCUGUCACUGGGAUCAAGCACUGUAAGAUCGAACCCACUACAAAGCACCUCUUCCCAUUGCAAGAUAAAUAGAUCAAGUUGGCCAAACAAAACCCAAAUAUCGGAGAAGAAAUACAAUGCUAUAAGCAAUCAUGCAUAUAAAAGAUCAAAGAAACUCAAAUAACCUUCAUAGAUAAAAAGAUAGAACUGAUAGCACACAAGGUAUUCCUCCGGUAUCCGGGAGUUGCAUAAUCUCAUAGUCGAAGGAAUAUGUAUAUGACAUGAAGAAAGCAAUAGCAAUACAACUUAACGAUCAUUAUGCUAAGCUAACGGAUGUGUCUUGUCCAUCACAUCAUUCGCCUAAUGAUGUGACCCCGUUCAUCAAAUGACAACUCAUGUCUAUGGUUAGGAAACUUAACCAUCUUUGAUUAACGAGCUAGUCUAGUAGAGGCUUACUAGGGACACUGUGUUUUGUCUAUAUAUCCACACAUGUAUCAAGUUUCCGGUUAAUACAAUUCUAGCAUGAAUAAUAAACAUUUAUCAUGAUAUAAGAAAAAUAUAAAAUAACAACUUUAUUAUUGCCUCUAGGGCAUAUUUCCUUCAUCUUGUCCAUCACUUCAUUGUCCUAAUGAUGUGAUCCCGUUAUCAAAUGACAACUCAUGUCCAUGGUUAGGAAACUUUAACCAUCUUUGAUCAACGAGCUAGUCAAGUAGAGGCUUACCAGGGACACGGUGUUUGUUUAUAUAUUCAGACAUGUAUUUAGGUUUCCGAUCAAUACAAUUCUAACAUGAAUAAUAAAUUUUUAUCAUGAAUAAGGAAAUACAAAAUAACAAAUUUAUUAUUGCCUUUAGGACAUAUUUCCUUCACUCGCAAGUUUUUGACAAAGGAGAUCAUGAAAGGAAAGAUACCGUUGGAAGUGAUGUCGGUGUAACCGAAUUUAAGGAGUACCCCACCGACCAUGGCCUGACCACCCCUAGUCGGACAUAUGGCGUUGCAUGUCAAUGACGCUUUUUCUAAGGCGGACGACACAUCGGUAGCAGGUAUGACUAUGCAUGGUCACGGUGCCCUAGUCGUGUUUGUAACAUAUAGCUUCCUGUUCAACCGUGGUGAUGCUCCGAAGGUAGAAAUUCACGCAAUAAUGUAAGGUGGCACUUCCAUACAACGUACCGAGCAUUCAGUCGUUGUGCAAUCUUACUCGUCCAUGGCCCUUUCCAUCUUCUCCGGUGAUUCUUUGGACCGCUCGGUGUAUGGCGAGUUUACUUCGCUUAAACUUAUUCGUAGUGAGAACAAAAUUGCAUACACUUUGGCAAGAUACAACUGUAUUGAACGUAGCAUCGCCGUUUGACAUGUACUCCCUACGUAAAAAAAACCCUCUUCAUAGUGAGAACAGAGUUGAAUAUACUUUGUCUAGAUACAUCUAUAUCUCGAUAAAUCAAAGAUAAGUUUUUUUAGGACAGAGGUAAUAUUAAGGAAAUCUUCUCUAGUUUGAACUAUACACAUUCGGAAUAUAACUCUAAUUUACCUCCCACCCCAAAACCCGAUAAUGUUACCUAGAGAGGGGUGGCAAGCAAACCCUCUUUGAUGAUAUUUUUAGUUAUGAGAAGUGAUAAAAUGAUGACAGUUUUUAAACAAAAAUUGCCUUCUCAGAAAGAAACUGACAUGUCAUGAAGAAAACGUCACCACCCAACCACUUUCUCACAACUAAAACUGCCACAAAAUCAUUUGUAUAUGUCACCCUCUGGCAAACAUUCACCAGUUAACAGGGUCAAUUUUUUUUAUGUUCCUGUUCUAUACGAUCACAAUAUGCCAUCACAUCGCGAGCCCACACCCACCAACGGACUAGCUGUUCUUCCGUCGUGACAGCUGACUAGUGUCCCACUGCUAGUCUCAAACGCAAGAAAACUUUCGCAACGAGACCAUGUUCCUCUUUUUUUUAAGGCGAGCGACGAGACAAUGUUUUUUUCAGGGGAGCAGCGAGAAAUGGUAACACGUCUCGCUAUAGAUUAGGCCGAAAGCCCAAUAUAGCACCCGAGACCCAGGGCACGGGCCAUCGGUCCAGCCUAUCACCGAAGCCAGGCCCAGCCCAUAGCCCUCCCCCUCUCGGCCGCACCAAAGCAAAACCCUAGGAACCUACAUCCAACGGCCUGAACCACCCAAUCCCCCAUCCGACGGUCGACGCCCCACGCACCAGCCUUAUAAGUCCUUCCAUUCCCACCCGCAAGGGUUCCCUCCCACACACCUCCGCCUCCACCCCACCCGUCCCGACCCCUCUCCUCCAAGGUAAGCCCGCGGCGGCGGCGAGCGAGCGAGCGGCGGCGAUGACGACCCGCUUCAAGAAGAACCGGAAGAAGCGCGGCCACGUGUCCGCCGGGCACGGGCGUGUGGGCAAGCACCGCAAGCAUCCCGGAGGCCGCGGUAACGCCGGAGGCAUGCACCACCACCGCAUCCUCUUCGACAAGUACCAUCCCGGCUACUUCGGCAAGGUCGGUAUGCGCUACUUCCACAAGCUCAGCAACAGGUUCUACACACCGACGGUCAACGUCGAGAGGCUCUGGUCCAUGGUUCCGUCCGACAAGGCGGCGGAGGCCGGCGGCGACAAGGCCCCCGUGGUCGACGUCUCGCAGUUCGGCUACUUCAAGGUGCUCGGCAAGGGGAUGCUGCCGGAGAAGCCCAUCGUCGUCAAGGCCAAGCUCAUCUCCAAGAUCGCCGAAAAGAAGAUCAAGGCCGCCGGCGGCGCAGUCGUGCUCGUUGCCUAGGGUUCUGUUCCCGACCGUGCCCCGAGAUCUAUAUCUGAACUAUUAGUUGUUUCCCGUACCAGCAAUUUGUGUUGAAGAAGACAUCGUUAGUUUGUUAUCCUGGUUCCUGUGUGGUAAACCAACAUCUUAUGAGAAUUUUGCGCUAUGUUAUGCCAGUUUAUAUCAGACGAGUUAUCCAUAUCUGUGCUCCUAUUUAUGCUUCGUUUGAUCUGUGUUAAUCGUUAUCGACCCCUAAUGCAUAUACUGUUAUUUUGCAUGGUGCAUCA